GAUUUCAAGUGUACUUUCCAACAAAUCAAACGGCACAUGAUUCGGAGCUUGCUAGAGAAAGAUAUCACGAAUUAAAGUUGAAUCCGAUUCGGGUCCGAGCUGCCAGGAGACCCGAAUUUGUUUUAAUCACCCAGGCCGCAUCCGGCGUCCAAAUCAAGCAAACAAGUACUUGUUGGAAAGGAAAUUACAAGACCUUUCCAACGGAUCUGGCCCCAUCAAGAGAGUCGACUCGUGCUGACCGUGACGGACAAAACAAGCUGAUGGAUCUGUUUUUCUGUUUCCUAAAGAGUUGUAGUUUGUUAGGAAAGUUAGAGAUAGAGUUGGAUUUCGGCCUCCUUACUCAAGGUGGACGAAAAUAUCUCUCCCUCCUCCUUUAUAUACCCCAUGAGCCCCCCUAAGGAGCCUGGGGUUUUGAUUAGAUAAAGUUUAGCCAUCUUUACUACUUUCGUGUAAUCGCGUGUGUCGGUUAGACCACCUGUUUUACCGUCGUCAAGACUCCAACUUAUCAUCUCGUUGAGACAUUGGUUUGAUAUAGUAUAUUUGCAAUUUUAGAUUGCAUCUGCUAUUUAUCUUGUUCUUGCUUGUUCUUCGAUUGCUUGCAGGAACAAAGACCUUUGUGGUCAGGUUGAUCGUGCCCUCGCGUGAUCAAUAACCCUCUGGAGUUGGUGUAUCGAUUGCUAAGGCGCUGCCUCCUAGGCCGUAGUCGGAUCCGUCAACGUCACCUCCUACCCAAAUCGAGAGUUAUCAGUCUCAUCGAAAGAUCGGGCCGCCCCGACCCGUAGCACCAUCAAAUCAAGAUGGCGGUCGAGGAUGAGGAAAAGACAGCGUUUCUCACCCCGGUGGGCUGCUAUUGAUAUACAUGCAUGCCUUUCGGGUUGAAGAACGCGGCCUCCACAUUCCAGUGCGCCCUGCGCGAAUGUUUGCGGCCCCAGUUAGGCCGCAAUGUGGAGGCCUACAUGGAUGACAUCGUCAUCAAAUCGAUGCGUAGGGACUCGCUGAUUGAUGACCUGUGGGAAACGUUUGAUGACCUCCGCAGGAUCAAGCUCAAGCUGAACCCUGAUAAGUGCACCUUCGGUGUUAACUCCGGGCAGCUUUUGGGUUUCUUGGUUUCGGAUCGGGGGAUACAGGCCAACCCGACCAAGAUAGAAGCCAUCGAGAAGAUGGAGGCCCCCCGCAAGGUGAAGCCGACGGGAUGCAUUGCCACAGUGCCCUUGUCGCCCCCCUCCGUAGGACACCUCCGCAAGGAGUAGGGGCUGCCGCGGAGACUCUAUGGUAGUGUGCAUGCCAUCCGUGCCUUGUGCCGACGGGUGCACUAUCAUUGGGACCCGGCCGCAUUCCCUUUGAGAGAGCCUUUUUCGGGCGCGGGUCGGUGCGAGGACGCUGUCAUGGCGCCGGUGCCGGCACUCGUCGCCCGUUCCAGCCCAUCACCGCGUCCUUGCCGCGGCCCUCGAGCAGUUUUGCUCCCGGGUAACAAGGGUCGUCGCCUCCCUUGGGACGAGUUCCCCAGAGAAAACCCAGGUCUCCCCAGUUGCAGGGGCUGUCGCUGGGAGGCUAUAACUUUCUCGCCACCCGUGCCCGCCGUUCGGGAUGGGACGAAGCCGGCGGCGAGGACGUUAUAGCUGUCUCGCGGCUGCUCCCGGGGCGGAGUCCUCCUAAGCUAGGGUUCGUCCCUGAAAGCCAGGGUCCGCCCCUGAGGGCGAGGGUUGCCGCGGGAGCGUGGUGGUAGCAUCGUUGGCGGCGGUUGCCGCCGGCGGCGAUCCUGCCCCCACGAUUCCUGCCGCAUCCCUCCGAGAUCGUUUCCCUUGAACACAUACCAAAGAUGUUUCCUACCGAGGCAGUGCCCCGUCUGCACUCUACCGCAGAGCAUCACGAAACAUUGGACCGAAUGGAAAAGCUAAGUAUCUGAACAUGAACGCUGAAUUCGCUAGGAGCUGAACGAAACUGAGCAUUGUCCCGCUGGGGGCGGCCCCGGAUCCCGCGCGUAGCCGGAGUGUUAAAAGGGACGCUUGCGGGGGGAGUGCGCUCCCCGUGUGGCUUCCGGGUCCGCCCCGGGAGGACACAGGCUUGGAGUAGUUACCCCGCAAGCGGAGUGGCUCCCUGCUACCGCUUGGCCCCAGGUGGGCACCGCGGGUCCGUCCCGGGUCCCUGGUCUGGUCAAGGGUGAGGCGUGCGCGAGUCCCCCCGCAACACAAGGCCAAACACGCAAAGGCUAAGGGAACCACCCCGCGGGGCGGCCUCGGGAAUAAAAGACAAAAAUUGAGGAAACUAACAAGCUUGAUCGACCAAGUGUCGAAUGAUUACAUGGAUUAAUCAAAAGGUCAUUGUUCAAACGGCGCUAAGCGCCGUACUUGCAGGGAAAGCAAACAAGAAGAAGGUACAGUGGAAGCAACGAGUAUAGCUGGGGGCUGCGGCAGCUAGCUGUCGCCGUCUUCGGCCGGGGGGUCUGCGGGGGGUUCAAGCUCUGGCUUCAUCUGCAUCCGCUCGACGACCUCGUCGACGAACUCGCGCACUGCUUGGGUGUGCGUGGGCUCGUCCUCGUUGACGGACCAAGCAUCCAGCAGAGACUCGAAGGGGAACUCCGGGUCCCGGAGAUGGAUUCGCGGGAGGAUUGUCCCGGCUCCCGUGCGCAGUUGGCGACUUUGUUGGCGCCAUACUUGGCGAUCCAGACAUCGAGCGCCCCGAGCUUCCCCAACAAGUCGGAGAAGAAAGGGAUCAGCGUCGUGACGUCCGUGCCGUCCACCUCCGCCACCUGCAGCUUGAACUUGGGCGGCAGGUCGCGCAGCGACUCGGGGAUCUUCGCCAGCUUUUCCGUCUCGAGCUGCCACUGCCCGAUCAGCGUGCCGUGAUGGAGUCGAGCAUCUUGCGCGGCCUUCUUGGCCUUGCUGACACGGCCCUCCAGCUUCGCAAGCUCUAAGGCCUGGGUCGUGUUGGCCUCGCCGGCCUUGGUGAGCUUGUCCUCAAGCCCGGCCGCUUUGCCCUUGACGGAGGUGAGCUCGGCCUCGUGCGGAGCCGCCGCUCUCGCUGCGUCCUCGGCAGCCUUGACCUGCACCUCCAACAGGACACGGAGGCCUUGGAUUUCGCCGCGGUAGUUGGCGAUCAGCUCGUUCUUCUCGUCUAGCCGCGCCUGGGCCGUCGCGAGCACCUCGGCAUGCUCCUUCCGGGACGCUUCGAGAGUUGCCACCAUCGUGUCGAGCCUUCCUUGGAGCUCCGUGCGCUGGACCUCCAGUUGCCGACGGAGCUCGGUCUCCGGGACUACUGGCUCCCGGGCAGCCUCCAGGGCUUGCCGGGCCAGCCGCGCCUCCUCUUCGGCGAGGCGCGCCUCCUCGCGCCGCCGGGAGAGUUCGCGCCACUCUCUCUCCACAGCCUCCCGCACCUCGCCGAGUUGAUUCUUGGCGGUGGUGUGGCGCUCCCUCACCUCGUUGUAGGAGGUGACGAAGGCGAACUGCUGGUCCCGGGCGGCGUCCAGGAAGCGGUGCCCCCGCCCCGCUCGAAGACGCUCGGAUCCCAGGUAAGAGGGUUCCAAGCGACCCCGGCAAGGGUGCCGAGGUCGGUGCUGGGGAGAGCCCCCGAGGAUGAUGAAGCCCCAGCUGCCGAAGUGGAGAUAGGCGCGGGGUCGCCAACUUGCUCCCGGGGGUCUUGCCGUCCUUCCCCGGCAACUUCCCCCGCGCCUAGGCUCCGGGACACCGGGGUUGGAGAGGGCUCCCUGCUUCCGGCGGGGGCUGCCCCCUGUUGGAUGACGGGCGAGCCCGAGCCGGCCACGUCCGCGGCUUCGGGCGCGUCGCCAGGUGCCGCGGCGGCGGCGGCAGUCUCCACUGCCGUCGCUGCGUCCGUCGCAGCAGGGCCGGACGUGGGAGCCGUUUCCGACUCCACCUCCACCCCCGCGGUCCUGACGACCGAGUCGGGGUCGACCACGGCCGCGCCUGCUCCGGGCGCGGGCGCACUUGUGUCUGCAACCGUGAAAAAGCAUGAGGGUCGGUGAUGAUUGGUGCUAUCGAAGGCGAACAAGGGCGACCGGGGCGGUUACCUUGUGUGGCUGUCGGGCUUGCCGGGGCAGCCUCCCCUACCUCGCCUGCGCCAGCGGGAGCAUCCAAGGGUCUUGCCGCGGGCGAGCAGCUGCUCGCUGCAGAAAGAGAAGGUAUGUUCGUGAAUUUGGCUAACAGGAAUUGCAGUUGCAGAGAAUCAACGAAGACAUACCCGGUGCCGGCCCUGUCUCCGCGGGGGCUUGGUCGCCAAGGGACGCGCCCGCGGCAGCGGGGUUAGUGGCACCGCUGGCGCCCGCGCGCGUUCUCUUGCUUGGUGUGCCGGGCGGGGAAUCGCUCCUCGCCCUCUUGCUGACGCCCGCCGGCGAGGACUUCGGAGGGCUGUGCCGGAGCGCGAAGCCCCGAAAGACCCCCCGGGCGGGCGGCACCGUGGGCGCCCGUGGUGUCGUCGUGACCCGGAGAGCUCCGGAUGUUGAUGGCGAUGCCGCUGCGGCGCCGGGCCCCAAGCGCGCGGAGGCCCCCGCUACCGGAGCGAAGGCCGUCGCCGGGGCGCCGGUGACCCCCGCAGGUGCUAGCUUUUCCGAGGUACCGACAGGUACCCCGGGACCGGUUCCCGCCGCGGAACUGGCGGCCGCCGCCAAGGCAGGGGCCGCCGCCGAGGCACUCGCGGCCCCUGUCGCCGCGGAUGCCCUCGGGGUACCAACGAGCGCCCCAGGGGCGGCGGCCGCCGCCAGGUUGGUGGUCGCUGCCGGGGCGGACGUCGCUGUUGAGGAGGGGGCUGCGGCCGCUGCGAACGCCCUCGACCUUCUCACGAUCAGGGGCGCGCUGUCGCUGCUUUCCUCGUCGUCGUCCUCUACGGCGACGACUUCCGGGGACGCAGCCACCUGGCCCGCCUCGUCGUCCAGCGACUGGAGGGAAGGCCCGCUGGGCUCAGACCCGCCCUCGCUCUUCUCGAGCACCUGCUUCCCACGGGGUGCUUGCGGGGGAGCGUGUGGGACACGGGUGGGGGUGUCGGGUCCAUCAGCCCCCACUCGUUGCAGGGCGGGAAGGCGCCGACGAUGUCGCUGAGCGCCCUGACGCCGGCAUGGAGUGCGGAGACCCCCGGCGGGAACUCCGUCGACUGGAAGAUGCCGUCCGCCUGGAGGCGUGUCCUGUCCCCAGAGCCCGUGUACACCCACGCGGGCCGGGAACGCAGCUGCAGCGGGGCUAUGCGCCCAUGGACGAAGGUGCGCGCCACGUCGACAUCUGUGAGCCCCGCUAGCCGCAACACCUUGAUCUUCUCCACGAUGGGGAGGAGGUCGGCGUCGCGGUGGUACCUAUCCUGCCAGCCGAUCUGGGGCACCGGCAACUCCGUCGGCGGCUGGAUGAACUCCUGGGGGUCCUCCACUCGGACCCAGCACCGGUCGCCCCGCCACUCUUUUUCAAUCUUCUUCCCCGACCGGACGAUGAACUCCGACUUCAUCUGGUCGCGGGCGCGGAAGACCACCCCCGACGACAUCGCCUUCGCGUUGUCGAUGCGUGGGUAGAAGUAAUGGCGGAAGAGCCCCACCGACGGCAUCACCCCCACGAACGCCUCGCAGAGGAACUGGAAGGUGGCGAGGAGGAAGAGCGAGGUGGGGUGCAGCUGCGCCACCCGCAACUGAUAGGACUCCAUCAGCGCGUGGAGGAACAGAGAGAAGGGCGGCACCAUGCCGCAGAGGAGGAAGCGCGCGAACACCCGGAAGUCGCUGUCCUGGUGUUCGUCGCCUGCCGGGAAGAUCCGCGUUUCCCCGUGCUCGUUGAAAUUGGAGGCGACGGUGUGCCGGAGCUUCCCCAGCGCCUCGCCGUUAUAGCCGCGGCGGAAGAAGGCGACUAUGGCGCGCAUCUCCCGCCUCUUCUGGUCCUUGGCGGCGGCCGCUUUGAGUGCCGCCUCGGUCUUGUUGGCUGCGGGCUUCUUCGAAGACUGGACCUCCUUCCCCUUCCUGGUGGUGAGGGGCGCCAUGGGGAGCAAGGGCGGAAGCUGGCAGGAGCGCAGGGAUACAAGAUGCGGAAGAGGAUGGAGGCAAAAAGGCGAAGUAUUGUUCCCCUGUUCGCAACAAUGGAGGCUUUAUGGCACCCGGCUGUUUGAUAACGGCAGGUUCCGUACCCUAAGGAUGCGCGGGGAUAACUCCUAAUGACUGGGAGUAAUGCGCGGAGUGGCCUUAACUACCCUAUUUGGGGGGGGGGGGAGUUAGGGCGGAAAUCCCGCGCGUCCACUGCUCCGCUUUUAACGGCGACACACACGGGGCAGCGAAGGGACGCGGGGCCGCGACUGAUCUGGGGCCCACGCGUCGGUUAAGGGCGUAGCCCGGCAACCGACUAGACGGUUCGCGGGUCAGACAGUUGGUAGGUUGGCGAGUUGGUCAAUUAGUUCCGGUAGACAGCCAGCAGAGAGUAGUGAGGGGUACUUAGACAUUGAGAGAAAACCUACGAACUGGCCCGGGCAAAAACUUGCGUGAUCAAGAUCCAACGGUCGGGGUCUCACCUCCGGGAACCUAGGGUUCCGGCGAGGCUUCCGGCGGCGGCGCGGCACAGGCGUGCUGCGGAGAGGCUGGCGGUGCGGGGAGAACACGGGCGCGCGCGGCUCGUCGAGGCGGAGGCGCGGGUGGCGGUGGCGAGGCUUGGGCGGGACGGAAACGGCGCCUAGGACGACUUGACCGCGACGGCGGGCGGCGGAGCUCCGGUGAGCUUCGGGCGCGGGUCGUCUGGGUGCUGCAGUGGACCAAAAAUGACGGGAUUCGCGUCAGAAGAUGCGUGAGAGCGAGAGGGAGGAGAUAUGGUAGGUGGCGGUGCUCUCGACCAUUAGGUUGCCGGUGACGAGCUCGAGACGGCGGCGAACUCGAGCGAGUUUCGGCGAGAAAUUGCAUUGGCGUGGUCGCGCGAUUGACUGGGAAAGCAAGGGAGAAGAAGAGAGGAGGUUGCGGGGUGACCAAGAGAUUGCGGCGGUGAGCGCGCGGCGGCGAAAAUGGCAGGCGGCGCGGCGAACGCGGGCGCCUUCCUUACGAGGAAGACGACCCUGACAGGCAGGUCCCGCCUGUCAGCGGCUCGGUGAGGGCGCGCGCGGGGACCGGGUUGGUCGGUUCGGCUCGGGCGCACGGAACUGGCCGGUUCGGCCCAUUUAGGCCGAGCCGGUCCGGUUUUCUCCCUUUUUUUUUCUUUUAGCCUUUUCUUUUUCUCCUUUUCUCAAUUUUUCGAUAUCUUUUGAUUUUGAACUCCAAAUUGGUCCAAAUAAAUUUCAUAAAAUUUGUAAAAUCAUGUUUUAUGAUGAUUGAACUUUUGGGAGUAAUUCCCCAUGAAAAUAAAAUAUAUAAAAAUACAUUUGCCCUAUAAAUGCCUUUAGGGCUAUAUAACUAUUUAAAUAAAAUAGUUUUUCCACUCCAAAAAUUAUCCUAAAAAUAUGGGAUAGCUUAUUUACGCAAUAAACCUCUUUUAACAUAAACCCUAUUGGUUUGAAAAUCCAAACUUAAAUGGGUGAAAAACCCUAGGGUUUAAUUUGAAAUAAAAACCUUUAAAGCCUUUUUGAGAUUCAAAUUUGAAUUCAAACAUGCAAUUGUGGCAUGAUGCUUAUGGAUGCAAUGCAUAUGUAAAAGUUUGAAAUUUUGGGAUGUUACAUCUCUUCCGCCCAGGGAGGGAUCUCCCUGCCAACGCAUGCCGCUACGUCAGCGGCAUGGACCCCUGCUGCUGCAGGGUUUCCUUCGGUUGCCGGAGGGGCGUCCCCGACAGCCGGCAGGGGGCGACUGAAGGAGGCUUCCGGCGCUCUGCUGCCAUCUUGGCCAGCUCGUCAGCAGUGAAGUUAUCCUUCUGCUUGACGUGCUCCAAACGCAAACCCUUAAACUUACGUUCUAGCUUGCGGACUUCCUCCACGUACGGUGCCAUCUGCGGGCAAUCGUAGUCCUUGUUCACCUGGUUGAUAAUGAGCUGGGAAUCCCCGCGAACAACUAGGCACUUGAUGUCGAGGGCGACCGCCGCCCGCAACCCGGCGAGCAAGCCCUCGUACUCCGCCGUGUUGUUGGUGGAGUUCGCGAAGUCGAGCUGGACAGCGAACCUCAACUGGGCCCCUGUCGGUGACAAAAUGACGACCCCGGCGCCUACUACUUGGAGACUGAACGCGCCGUCGAAGUAGAGGACCCAGUGGUCCUCGUCCAGCUUGCCAGGCAGGCUGGUCUCCGGUUCAUUCUCUUCCACGCCUGUAGAUGUCCAUUCUGCGACGAAGUCCGCCAAGGCCGUACUCUUGAUGCUUUUGGAGUUGGUGAAGUGGAGGUCGAACUCCGACAACUCCAUCCUCCAUUCGGCCACCCUCCUGGUGGCUUCACGGUUGGUGAGGGCCCGCUCAAAGGCAGGACCCCGACACCACCGUGACGCGGUGUGCCUGUAAGUAGUGGCGCAGCUUGCUGGAUGCAAGGAGAAUCCCCAAAAGGAGCUUCUGUACUUGCGGGUAUCUUGUUCGCGCGUCGCGUAGCACCGUACUGACAAAGCUAUGGACAUCUUCCUCCCGCGCGGUGCAUAAGCUGCUGGCUCGGGGGUGGUCCUCGGGUCCUCGGCGGUUGCCGGGGGUCGCUCAGCCCCCUGCCCCGCAGCCUCAGUCCCUGGGACAUCUUCCUCCCUCGCGGCAACCAGCACCGAGCUGACCACCUGGUCAGUCGCUGCUAGGUAGAGUAGCAGCGGCUCGCCCGGCUUGGGGGCGACGUGGACGGGCAGAGAUCUCGGCCUCGGGAGUCCAGUCAACCGGACCCUUCUUCUUCAUCACCUUGAAGAAAGGCAGGGCACGUUCGCCCAGCCUGGAGACAAACCAUCCCAGCACGGCAACACAACCGCUGAGGCGCUGGACAUCCUUCACCUUGCGGGGAGUCUCCAUCUUCUCAAUGGCCUCUAUCUUGCUCGAGUCACCCUGUAUCCCCCUGUGUGAAACCAAGAAACCCAGAAGUUGGCCGGAGUUGACACCGAAGGUGCACUUCUUGGGGUUCAGCUUGAGCUUGAUCCUGCGAAGGUUAUCAAACAUCUCCCGCAAGGUCAUCAAUCAGCGAGUCCCCGCGCUUCGAUUUGAUGACGAUGUCGUCCAUGUAAGCCUCCGCGUUGCGGCCUAGCUGGGGCCCCAAACAUUCGCGCAGGGCGCGCUGGAAUGUGAAGCCCGCGUUCUUCAACCCGAAAGGCAUGCAUUUAUAACAAUAACAGCCAUCUUAAUUUGAUGGUAGCCGGAGAAAGCAUCCAGAAAACUCAACAAGUCACAACCAGCGGUAGAAUCAACUAUUUGAUCGAUACGGGGUACAGGGAAGGGAUCCUUGGGGCAUGCGCGAUUAAGGUCAGUAAAAUCUACACACAUGCGAAGCUUAUUCCCUGCUUUAGGUACUACUACAGGGUUAGCCAACCAAGUGGGGUACAGAACUUUCCUGAUCGCCCCGGCAGCCUUGAGCUUGUCCACCUCCUGCUUGAUGAAGUCUUUACGCUCUUGUGCUUGACGCUGAAUCUUCUACUUGGCGGGGCGCGUCAGCUGCGGCGGCGGCCCUGACAACCUCGCCAACGCACCAGGCCGUGUCCUUGAGGUCGCACCUGAUGGAGAGGACUCCAUACAUGGACGGCAUCUUCAUCACGCGAUAAGCGCAAUGCGUAGCCGCCAUGAACUUGAUCAGCGCUGGCCGACCAAGGAUCCCGUUGUAGGGCAAGGGGGUGUGUGCCACGUCGAACACUAUGUGUUCGGUCCUAAACGCUUCCCGGGACCCGAAGGUGACCGGCAGCGAGAUGCGCCCCGGCAGGCGCAUGAUCCCGGGGUUCACCCCCCGGAACGGGUCGGUGGGCUUCAGCUGCUCCACCGGCAACUGGAGUUUCUCCACCAGCGUGGCGGACAGGAGGUUAAGCCCCGCUCGAUUGUCCACCAGCACCUUGGUCACCGUCAUAUUGCUAACGAUCGGCGAGACGACGAAGGGUAUUACCCCUGAACCCAGCUGCCGCGCUGGGUGAUCGUCGGCGCUGAAGGUGAUGGGCACAUGCAACCACCUCAGCAUCUGUUGCGGCUCCGCGUCCGGCAACAGCACGCAUACAUCGCGGGUGAGGCGCUUCACCGUGCCGUGGGAUGGGAGAGCGUAAGCUCCCCCAUGGAUGCAAGCGACGCCACGGGGCUCCUGGAAGCCCGGCUCGCCGCCGCCAGUGCAGUCGGACUCGCGCUGCUCCUCAGCGCGUGCCCUGUCGCGUCCCCGGGGUGGGCGUUCCCGCCCCGCGUGGGGCUGACCGCGUCCCCCUUGGGGUCCGUCCCUACCGGGCAGGCCUCGGCGCCGCUCUGGGAUCGUUCGGGUAGUCUCGGGAGAGAUGCCCGAUGUCGUCGUACUUGAAGCAGGCGCCAGCAGCGCGGUGCUCCUCAGGGCGCUGCUCGCGCCGCUGCUUGAUCCCCUGCAGAAUGCAGCAACUCUGCGCAUCGUGGAUGGAGUUGCUGUGGAUGGGGCAGCGGGGCGCGUCACCCUGCUUGCCACCAGACCCGCCACCCGGCGAGGCCUUCUUCGCAGGCCUCGCAGCCGGAGCAACCGAGUCCGCAGCGAGACCCUGCUUCUCGCUGCGCUUGCGGGAACCCUUCUUCUGCGAACCCUUGCCGGGGCUCACGGCAGCCUUAGCUGCCAGCUCGGGCGCCAGGCGCCCUUAGCUGCGUACAGAUCCUGCAUCGUCCGGAUCCAAUGCGUGCUCAGCUUCUCGCGCAUCUUGGGAUCGGGGACGUUGAUGGCGAAGGUGUUGAUGAUGGCAGCCGCCUCCGCCUCCGGGAUGGAAUAGGACAGAUUGGAGAAGCGGUUGACGAAGCUCCGCAACGUCUCUCCCGGCUUCUGCACGAUAGUGUGCAGUUCCACCAUGGUUACCAGGCGCUUGUAGCCGCCCUGGAACGCGCUCACAAACUGCUCGCGCAGGUCCGCCCAAGUGGCGUUCGACCCGGCGGGCAAGUUGAGCAGCCAGGUUCUCGCUGAUCCUUUCAGGACCAUUGGGAACCAGUUGGCCCUGACAUUGUCGUUGGCGCCGAUGGCAUGCAUCCCCAACGUGUAGGUCAGGAGGAAAUCCUUAGGAUUGGCGGUCCCGUCGUACGUACCGAGCGCGGGCACUCGGAACUUACGGGGCCACGUCCCCCGCCGCAACUCGCGUGUGAACACGGUGCAAUCGUCCUCGAGGCCCAUGGGAGCAUCUUCCUGCUCCUGUGAGCGUUGGCGCUCUACUUCACGCCUGCGCCGGUGCUCCAAGCGCCGGCGCAGAUCCUCUUGCUGGCGGGCAUUCAGAAUGCCGCGCGAGUCACCCCCCGGAACGGUGGCCGAUGACUUCGAGGACCCCUCCGGGCCCCCGUUCCCCUAACCUCCCUACGGAGGGGGAGGGUUCUCCCCCUGUCGCGAGGCGGGCGGCACGUCCUCGCCCUCCGGGUUCUGCCCGUGGCCGGAGCCCACCGGGGCGCCCUCGCCUUGUGGCUGCUGGGCAGCAGAGCGAGGAGUGCGUCCAACUCCUUGCCCCACGUCGCGUGCGCCGGCGUGCCUUACCGUGGUUCAUACCGCACCAUGACGCGCGCGGCGAUGAGGGCUUGCGCCGGGGUUCGUGCGGGGGGCAGCUGAUUCCCUGAGCGGCUGCUCUCCGCUCUGGCGUCGGACGCCGCCGGGUGCGCGGGGUGCGAGUCCCCGGGGGUCGCUCGCGACGCGGUAUGUUCCUGGUGCCGGUGUCGCUGUGCAUCCUCGGCCUGCGACUCAACUCGCUGGCCGGCGCGGGCGGCACAAUGCCCGCUCGCGCGGCUGGCCCUGGCACUGGGGGCAGCCGGUACCCUCGGCCGAUUGUCUGCAGACGGCCAUGGAGGUGGGGGAGGCAGCUGUGAUUGCUGCACCCUCAAGGGCUCGGGGUUCUCCUGAGCCCCCAACUCGGGUCGCACGUCAUGUGACCGUGUGUGCGCCGCUGGGGCCUCACGCGAGUCUACCCGAGGAUCACCAGCCCGCUUGGGGGGCAUGGUGACUAGUCUCGUCGGUGAAGAAGACGAAGCCGACGUCGAGGCAAGCACUGUUGCCGGCGAUCACCGGCGAGCUCUACUCCCGCACCCCCUACCUGGCGCGCCCGAUGUCGUCGCACGGUACUCUGACACCGGAGCCGUGCGGUCACGGCCCCCUUUUAGGUUUGGCAGGGGCGUUAGGGUUCGCCCCGGCGAUCGCCGGCGUGGCCGAUGGGCCUUCGCGACCGGCGAAAUGAUGUACUAGGGAUGCGCACUAACAAAGAACACAUGCACGCAUGUUUUUACCCAGGUUCGCGCCACCCGGAGGUGUAAAACCCUAUGUCCAGCCUGUCUGAGCUAGUAUUGAUUAUGGAUCAAGUGUUUACAACUUGCCGAGGGAGGGUCCCCGGGCGCUCUCUCCUUGCUUACUAAAUGCUACUUACUAUCCCUGGACAAGGGCUAGUUGUGAGCUAUGAGUUUGUGUAACCGUGUAACUGUCGAACCCAACCGACUAACUUACUAACCCUUGAAAAACCUGGAACCCUUUGACCGCCGGCGGGGGUCCUCCUUUUAUACUCAAGGGGAUGCCAAAGGUGCCGCGGUGCAUGGGCUACAAGUGUCGAGAGGGGAGGCAUACAACUCCCCCUCAUUGAGCUGGUGGCACGCAUGGAUGCCACCUCCGCUGCUAGGGGUCUAAGACCCUAGGGUAGGAUUGGACAGCCACUGUUUACUUGACUUGGACAGGUAACGCUGAAGCGACCGCCCCCGUACAAGGGUUCGAUCUCUGUGCUUUAGUGCUAGUCCCUGGAUCGACUCACUAGCACACAUAGUUUCAAGAUGUAAUAUCAUAGAACAAAGGUCUCAAUAAUACAACAAAUCAUCCAGAAUUUAAAAGGUACUUACAACUCGCAUAACCUCACGGGUUAGCUAGAAAUAAAACAACUGUUUAGCAGCGGAAAACGAAAGAUACAAGGGCACAUCAACACCACGGUGAGAGCGUGUUGGAAUGUAGGCCCGUAACCCAAACAAGCAGAACGUACAUCUUACUCGACGUCGGAGCUUCCUGCAUCAUUAAACGAUGCAGCCACUAGGGUCAAUACAUUGAAUGUAUUGGCAAGAUUCACUAGGAGUUAUAUCAGAGCCUACCAAGUAUAUGCAUAAUGUGGCAAAGUGGGGUUCAAGGCUAUUUGCAUGGAAGCAGAACAUAAAUUACCCUACUACAAAGGAAUGUUAUAAUAAUGUUAACUAUUGGACAUGGGGUAGACACACCCAUGCCCCUACCCUGUUCAAACCAUUCAUUUUAUUUAAGAAAUUGGAAUGAGUGAGACUUUCCUUACAGCCCCAAUAUCUAGUUGCUCAUGAUUGUCCGUAAGCGGGGACACGGCUAAGUACUUAGUUUCACACUCUUGAGAGGUUGUACACUUUACCCACAAGAAAUCGAUGUGUUAAUCCCUUGUUGUCCUCAGGGUAGAGUGGCAACGGCAUCGAUUACAGGAAUUUUCAGACCAUAAUCACCCAGACCACCUGAGGGACCUACAUUCCCACCUACACGGCUACAUCUGCACAAUCCCUCGGAUCCAGGAUCAUAUGUCUUACAUCCAUCCUGGCAGAGCCCAUAUUACCAUGUGGUUGUACUGGAAGCUACUAAACAGGAAACUAGUCCAGUCUCUGUUACCCCAGGUGGCAUUCCACAUUUGCAACGUAGGCGCUCCCCGAAUCCACGGGAGAGACAUCCAUGGACGAUCCAUUCCUGAAUCCACAGGAACUCGACUCAGAGGGACCCAUAGAAAUGGACCUGACGCCGCUAAUCCUCAAAAUCCUCAAAGUAGCCCACCCAGGAUGGUUCAUUGAAUUAGUUGUUUUGCCUUACAUCUAGCAAAACAUUUCUUAUAGCCAAAGGCAUAACAGUAUCAUAAUGUAGUUAUUUCCCCCACGAUACUACCAUAACCUAACAUGCAACUACAAUCGAUGGCAAUUUGGUGGCAAGGUAAUGGUGAGGGUAAACUAUACUACCUGGGAUUUAUAGCUAGCAUAGAGGUACGAGCAAUAGUCCUAUCAAUGCAUCUCUACCAACAACACUAAUGCAUAAGUAUUUUAAAACAACAAUAAUAAUGGGAUAUGAUCAAAGUGAACUUGCCUUGUCCAAGGUUGUGAUAGUUCUCGCACUCUUCGCAACAUCAAGGAAUACACUCCACACAAUCUAAUAUAAAAGAAACAUGCACACAAUAAACACAACAUUCAAUGCAAAAAUCAUGCCAUGAUGCAUAUGCUAUGUUAAUGCACACUUGGUUACUUUUAAUGUAACAAGUUUUGUUUCCAUUUUGAAAAGUUUUUCAAAAGGUUUGGGCAACUUACACAUUAACAAAGAGGUAAUUAAUAUGCAUGAAACAAGGAUAGGGUUUAAAUUAAAAGAUUGUGUGGUUUUUGAAACAUAGAACAAGAUUUAAACUUGUAUGACAUUAUUAUUCACAAAAUAAUUUCUCUUCCAGUCCUAAUGGACAGAGAACAAGCUUAAAUAAUUUUACAGCAGGUUAACAUGCUCAAAACUAUUUUGAAACAAUUCAUUUGAAAUUUAAACCCUAUUCAACCAAUCUGUAAAUUGCUUCUAACUAAGUUGUUCAAAACUGAAAUUAGACAGUGCCAAAAUAUUCUACAAGUUGUGACGAUUCCAGAAAGGUGCGGAACACAAUUUUGGACAAACGGUUUAAAAGAUAUGAGGCUUUGAAGUUAAAGGGGUUUUUCUGAAAAAAAAAAUAUCUAAUUCAGCCGAAAAAAAUAAAAUAAAAAGGCCUCACCACGUGGCAGCGCGGGAUAGGCCGGGACCUAGGGUUCCGGCCGGCGGUGCGGGGCGGCGCGGGCGGGCGGCGCGGCGGCACUCGGGCGGCGCGAUGGCGCAAGGGCGCGGGCACGGGGCGCGGGCGAGCGGCAAGCGGUGCGCGCGGGGCGGCGGCGCACGGGCGCGGGCUUUGGGCGCGGGCAGCGGGAGCGCGGGCGGCGCGCGUGGCAAGCGGGCGCAGCGGGCGGGCGCGGGGAGCUCGGGUGGCGGCCGGCGCCGGAGAAGAUGGCCGGCGCGGGGCGGAGCGCAGCGGCGGCGGCCAAACACAAAAGCGAGCGCGUCACAGCGUUCGGGACGAGGAGAGGAGAGAGGAUAGGGGGUUGGCGCGGCGGGAACCUCACCGGAAUGGCGACGAAUCGAGAAGAACGGCGACGACAGCAACGAACUCCAGCGAGCAAUUAGUCUCUAACCGGUGCGAAAUUGAUCGUGGGGUUUGGGGGAAGUAGUAGAGGAGUUCGAGGGCUUCGAUAUGACGCGCGGGGUUUCGGAUUUGGAGGUUUGUGGGCGAAGAAAUCGGGACGGAAUCGUGGGCGACUCGGAGUCGUGUGAGGCCGGUUUUCUCAGGAGGCAGUUGAGGAAGAAGAUGACGCGCGUGUCCCACCGGUCAGAGAGAGGAACGGGGCGGUUCGGCGGGGCCGGUCCGGUCCGGUCCGGUUCGGGAGGUUCGGUCCGGUUUGACCGGUUUUCUCCGGUUUUUCUUUUUUCUUUUAUCUAUUUUCUGUUUUUGAACCUCAAAAUUGAUUCGAAGCUCCAAAUCACUCCAAAUAAAAUGCAAAUUUUUUUGUAAAAUCAUAUUUUCAUAUGAUCUAACUUUUGGAACAAGAAUUUCCUCAAAAUAAAAUAUUUAAAAAUACAUUUGCCUAUAAAAUGGCUUUUAGGCCCUUAGGCUAUCGAAACAAAUUAUUUUUCAAAAUAAUUUCAAAAGCCAACUUAUGGGAUAGCUUUAUAUAUGCACUAAAUCCCUUUUUAUCGCAAUACCCUCAUGGGUUAAAAUGCAAAUGCUCAAAAGCAAGAUCAAAGCCCAAAAUCAAAUAAAAGCAUUUUUGCAAAAGGGUUUUCCGGGCAAAUUUUAGGGUUUUCAAAUGUGGUCAAAUGCAGAGUGACAUGAUGCUUAUGAUAGGCAAUGCAUAUGAAGAGUUUUGAAAAUUAGGAUGUUACAAACGCCCUGACCAUGUUGUUUAUACCCAAUGCCUCUCUCUCAUUCUUGCACUAAGUUAUGUUCUCAGUCCUGUCACGAUGGCUUUAGGAUUGCAUAGCUUUUUAGUCAGCUCUACUCAAAUGCCUUUGCCUUGUUACUUAUCCUAUUACCAUGUCACAUGUUUGUUGUUUCCCUAUAUCUUGGUCAUUAGAUGUCAUGCUUAGUUGUGAGUCUACUGUCCUUACUUGGGGUUAUACAAUUGCUACAUCCACAUGCUACUUUAUGUUUAUUAAACUGUGAUAUGAUAUUAAACUGCAACAAGGCAACGAUGGGAGGCCGUGCUCUAACGCAUUGGCGUUUUGUUCCAUUGGCGCCGACCUAAGGACUGAGUUCUCAUUUUCGCCGACCCAAGAAACUUCACGCUAACCGCUCGUGGGAGAAUAUAUGGGUUCCCCCUCGGCUUAGUACUCGUUUCAUAGCUCUUCCAGGGGCCACAUAGUUCGGGCGUUCCAUUUGGCAUGUCGCUUAUACACUGGUGUUGUGUUUGGAGACUUGUUGGUGACUUUGCAUUCAUAUAGGAUUGCGGCACUAGUCUGGAGUGGUCAUUCUGCGGACACUGAACCACUACCAGCUGUCCACGCAACUCUCGGGUCCGUACAACGCUUCGGCCGGGCUCUCGUUUCGGAUUAGACUCAGUUGGGUGGUUCUCUGGAUUAGUUGUGGGGCUUGGAAACGUCGUGUCGCCCAAUCCUGCCGACACACGUCUUUGUGUGUUCCUACUCGAGUGGCAACAAGGGUUGGACGAACGUGUACGGGUAAAUUGGCACACCCUGCAGGGAUAAAUCUUUCGGAAAGCCGUGUCCGCGGUUAUGGACGACUUGGUUGGUCAUUACUUGAUCAUAGAGAACUUAAUUAUUUUAAUCAACUUAAUUUCAUAAACUUGACUAGUAAUUAGGGAUUAUUUAUGGAUAUGCUUAAAACUGCUUAAGUGUGAGUGUCCUUUGGAUUGCUUCCUCACAGGGUGUUGAGGGGGUGAUAUGAGGAUUGUGUUGUUUGGUGUUUAGUAGGGUUAUUAGGGUUUAGGUUAAUCACCUCACUUAGUAGACGCUUCUCAUCCUCUACUUAGAUGUUGUUAAUAGAGUGUCUCUCCAGAUAUUGUUGCUGCUGCAUAACCCCACCAUAUUAUCCAUCCUUUGAGACUUGUUGCAUAUCUAGUUUAGAUCUCCCGUAAGUCUUGCGAAUACUUUGUACUCAAAUGCUUUGCAACGUUGUUUUCUUCAGAGGUUCCAGCAGAGCAGGUGAGGCGCUAGCUUCUUCAUGGAGCACGACGUUGGAUUCGAUGCCAAGGAGGGAGCGACGGAAGCACAGGCGGGCGUGCGCAAAGAUGCGGCGGCGAGCUUCGCUACCGGAGGCGAGCAAGCACGGCGACGAAGAAGCUCCGAGCGUGCGGCAAUGGCAGACGCACGAGAGCAGCAAAGAGGCUAGGGUUUUGAGGGAAAGUGAAAAUGCUUUCACCCCGUCCCCUUUAUUUAUAAACAGGGGGAAUUCAUGGGCGGCGGAUCUUACGUGCCCACGAUCCCCGUGGCCAACGGUAAGAUAGCAUCGUAAUCAAUCAUGGGGACGAUUACCCCCAUAAACGGCGCACACGUGGUUACUGCACGACGUGGCGCAGUAAAUCCCGCCGAAUCAGGAGAAGAUAAGGCAACGGGUGGAAUUCGAAGCUCCCCUCUUAAUGGCUUGCCGUCUUUCCUGUCCGAUGGGACGACACAUUCGCCUCAAAACACGCGCCAUGGCCUUAUCUUCCCGUUAUUAAAGUGAGGCACAUAAUAAGUGCGACAUGUGGCAUAGAUUUCGGGAGAGAAAGGCUCUCUAUCGCUGGCCGAGAUUAAGAGGGGAAAUCUCGGCUCGAAGCUGAAAUACCGCACCGACUAAAAAUGUAGGCAGUGCUAAAUCUCGGCUAAGAAAGCUCGGGAUCGUGUCAGCAUUUUACCUGGUCAAAUCCUCCUAGGCGCUGAGUUGUUUGAGAUUUGGGAAACUGUCAUGGCCCGACAUCAAUUCCUAUCGGACCGCGCAACAGCUUCGGGGACUAGUGUCGGGCAUUGUUAGGUCGACUUUAUAACCGGCCGGCAUACCAAAACCAUGUCGGCAUCUCUAUCUUGUCUUAUGUGAUUGCAGGAUAAGUACGAACUAUCUAAUCUCGGCUAGGGCCAGGAUACACCAACGGUCCUAUCUUGGUCGCAUGGCACAAAGUAAAGCAGCGCUCCCUUUAUGACGGAAAAGCAGUCGUUGCUCACAUCGCUGUGCCGGACAACUGCACAAUGAUGCGCCGUUUAAGGACAGGUGACGAAGGCCGGGGCGUGGCUACAGUACGUGCCGUCUGGCUGUACGUAAAGCACAAAACAACCUUGUCCCCUCCCAGACAAUCGGGAGGGGACCAUGGGCGUACCCGGCGGGCCCGGGAGUAGCUAGGGUUUGCUUUCGGCCCACAUGUCAGUGUCACAUGUUUAGCCUAUAAAUAGAGGCUCCACCCCUCCUGUAAGAGGGAUUCCUCUCUUAGAAAUUAGGAGUUCUCCUUCUUCUUCUUCCUCCUCUGGACAUAGCUCAAGGAGCACCAUUGUAGCCCCUUGUAUCUCGGCUAAUACAAACAACGCAGGAGUAGGAGCUUUACCUCAUCUAGAGGGCUCCGAAUCUAGGUAAACACCGUGUGUUCUUACUUUCGUGCGUGGUUUACACCGCGCCAUCCCUCCUCCGGAUCCUCCUUCGUCCAUCGGCCCCAUCUUAAGCCAUCCCAUGGCAUCUGCCGUUACACCACCACGACAGAGUCGAACACAUUGCUUCUAGCUAGGCUUGAUGUCUUCGAAUCCUUUUCGGGACUAAAGGGAAUUUCUCUUCUGCAGAGGCAAAACGAGUCCAUGAUUCCAAUAGUCGAAUUAGACGCCGAGAAAGUCAUGAGACCCGAGUCGAAUAUCACGAGUGCUGAGAUCUCGGCUGAAGUGAAUCCUCCUGAAGCUUCGAAAAGCGUGGAGUUGAUGGCUCCUAUGGAGGUUUCUUCCUUCGACAAGACUCAAAGUGAACUGGAGUUACUACGCCGUUUUCUCCAAGAAGCCGAAACCCGAGCCAAGGACUCGACGAUGCAGAGUCGGAGAACCUUGGGCGAGUUGCACAUCGCCAAGACCAAGCUGAAGGUGGCUGCUGCCCGCGAAGAAUUUAUCUUCGAGGAGCUUCACGGGCUGAGUUCUUAGCUUCAAUGUGAGUCGCCGCAUCCUUUUUGCUUGACUUCAUUUUUUUUGACUUGUGCUUUAUUCACAGGCAUGAGUUGUCUGUAGAUGUGCAAACCGACCCGUGAGUCGAGCAAGAUCGGGUGAACAGUGCCCUAAAUGCUCACCAAACGAUCGAUCGAUCAACGUUCUGGUCUGAUCGAGCAAGGGAUCAUGACCUAAUGCUGGUGCGAGACCGCAUAGACCAAAACAAGACCUUCUUCGACUCGCACUUAGAAACUCUAAAGGCGAUUCAUCAGGCAUUCUGUCCCUUGGAGGAGGUGCCCCAGGAGCUGAGUAAGCUGACCCGAAAACUUGGGCAAGAUAGCAUCUUCCGGGAGGUGAUGUCCCGUCAGCUGGUCAGGGGAGCGAAGAUAGCCCUGGCGUUCGUGCGGAUCCAGCAUCCUCGGCUCGACCUCAACCGAAUCUCUGAGCUUCCUAUCGACCCUGAUGAUGAGAUCGACAUGCGACCGCAUUUCCAAGCUGUGUAUGCGCAGGCGGCGAGGAUCAUCGGCUGGCGAUACUGGAAGAAAGAAGACCUUAUAUCUUGACUGCCGAGCCCACCGUAGAUAGCAGUAGAGUAGAUUCUACCGGGUUCGCGCCCAGCGCUCCCGGUGGGAGUAGCCCCCGAGUCUGGUGACGAUUGUUUGCAGUGUGACCGGACUCAGGUUAUGUACUGGAAAACUUGCUUAAAACGGGGUUGUUCUGUUCUGUUAGAAAGAACUUUGUGUAACCUGAACUGCAUCUGAAUGUAAAUUUGAACCUAGGGAUUCCCGGUGGGAGUGAUUCUAGAAUCUUAUCCUUCAUUGCUUACAAGUGUGGAGAUGCAAGUAAUAUCUACCGGGUGCGCGCCCAGUGCUCCCGGUGGGAGUAGCCCCUGGGUUUGGGGUCGACUACGAGUAGUCGAGCGUGGACCCAAGUGAGUUGUUCCUUGAGUAUUCCUCCAUUUACUUGCUCAAAAAGGCCGUGACCUCAAUGUAAGACUUAGUAGAUAGGCAUUGCUGCCGUGUGCUUUGUAGACAAGGUCUCCACCUAAUUGGACACAGCUUCCGAGUGUCAAGUGGUCCAAGACAAGCAUUAGAGUCGAUUGGACGCAGCCCCCGAGUGUUGGGUUGAAGCAACCGAUCCCGUGUAGGGUUUGAUCUCUGUGCUCAGUGCUAGUCGCUGGAUCGACUCGUUAGCACAGACAGUUUCAUGAUGUAAUAUCAAGAUACAAAGGUCAAAAGUAUAUUACAUCUCAUUGAUCCAGAAUUUAAUAGUACCUUACAUCUUGCAUAACCUCAUGGGUUAGCUCAAAUAAUACCACAGUCGAAAACAUGUUGGAAUGUAAACUCGCAAUCCUAACAAUUCGUACCUCACUCUUCACCUGGUUCACCUGCAACAUUAGACGUUGCAGGCACUAGGGGGUCGAUACAUUGAGUAUAUUGGCAAGUUCACCAAAGGGUUAUAACAGACCUAACAAGUAUAUGCAGUAUAUGGCAAGGUGGAGUUCAGGCAUUUUGGGUGGAAGCAUAACAUAAUUUACCCUACUACAAUUGAAUGUUACAAUAAUGUUAACUAAUGGACACCGGGUAGAAACACCGAUGCUCCUAUUAAACUAUGUACAUUGAGUAGACACAUCAAUGCUCCUAUCCCAAGUUCAAACCAUUAAAUUAUUAAUUUAGAAGUUGGAAUGAGUCAGACCUUCCUUACAGCUCCCAAAUCUAGUUGCUCCUAAUUGUCCGUAAGCGGGGACACGGCUAAGUACUUAGUUUGACACUCUCGAGAGGUUGUACACUUUACCCACAAGAAACCGACGGGUUAAUCCCUUGAUGUCCUCAGGGUACAGUAGCAACGGCGUCGAUUACGAGAAUUUUCAGACCAUAAUCACCCAGACCACCUGAGGGACGCGUUUCGACCUACAUUGCUACAUACUGAUGUCACCUCGGAUCAAGGAUCAUACAUCUUACUCCAUCAAGCCAGAGCCCAUUUAGCAUGUGGUUGUACUGGAAGCUACUAAAUAGGAAACUAGUCCAGUCUUUGGUUACCCCGGGUGGCAUCCCACAUUUGCGACGCAGGCGCUCGCCGAAUCCACGGAGAGACGUCCAUGGACGCUACCCGAAUCCACGGAGAGACGACUCAGAGUGACCCAUAGAAAAGGACAUGACACCGCAUGACAUCUCAAAAACGAAUCAAAGCCGCCCACCCAGGAUGAUUCAUUAAAGUUGUUUUAGCCAAGUUUCCAAAAUACUUAUCAAUUAUCAGUUUCAUGGUAUUUGAGGUUCCCUCCCACGCAUACUAACAUAGCAUUGCUAAACAUAUAACUACACACGAUGGUUAUGGGUGGAGGGGUAAUGGCACAUGUACCCUACACUACUAGGACAAGCAUAAUAGCAUAGAUACAGAUAAUAUCCCUAACAAUGCAAUCUACAACAACACUAGUGCAUAAGGAUUUAAAAUAAAAAAUGUAAUGGGAUUCAUGGUCAAAGUGAAACUUGCCUGUUUAGUAUCUUUGUAUUCUUCUUCUUUUUCGAUACUCAUAAUUAUCACACUCCACAUAAUCUAUCGUGCAGAACGAAAGAACAAUAAUAAACACACAGUUCGAUAACUCCAAAUAAAUCCAAAUGAAGAACCAAACGUGAUAAUCAAUGAUUAUCUUUAAUGCUAAAGCGUAGGUUUGGGUUUGAACAGGAUGGGAAUGGUUUGAAAGGAAUUAUAACUAAGGAAAUAAUACUAUACCCUUCGUAUCCCACAUGUUGUAUUUAUGAAAACAUGGACAAUGCACAUCUCACGAUCCAACUAAUGUUAAUACAAGAUAUGCAACAAUAUGACAAAGCUAUCAUGCAGACUACCGAUGUUAGGUGAACAUGAUAGAUAGCAAAACAUCACGUUAAUUUUUGUUCUAGCAUUUAAGCUACUAUUAUUUAGUUAAUUUAAUUAAUGAAGUAAUUAAUUUGAAUGCAUCAAAUUCAUCUAUGAAAUGCUAACACAACUAUACAUGCUAAUUGACUAAGCUACAUGAGAGUUAAUUUUAUUAGCUCUAGUUUAUUAUCAUGCCGAGGUUAACAAUGACACAAAUCUCAUGAUGCAAUUUAUAGGUAUGAAAAUAUAUUUACAUAAAUUAUUUUACUGAUACCCAAACCAAGAAAAGAUAGAUCAAGAACCUAGGGUUUACGAUAUCAAGAUUUGAUAUGAAUUCUCCAAGUUGUUGGAACAAAUUAGAGAAUGGAAAACCUAAUCUAAAUGAGUUUAAAGACAUGAACAUGUUAUGAUCAGAUCAUAAACACGCGAUAGACACAAAGAAAAUCUAGAUUAGAAGGUUAGACAAAAGGCUAGGAUUGAAUUGGAAUUGAAAUAGUGAAGUUCUGGCUGUUAACAGAUACAAAGUUCUAUGGACCAUGGUAUGUUGUAUAUAAACUUGGAAAGGUGUGUAAAGGGGUCCAGUAUGUAGAGUUGGACGUAAUCUUGUGAGCACAGAAAGAAUCAACUGAUUCGGAUCUACGGAUCAACACAUAUAGGCUUUGGAAGAUAGCUAAUCAAUGUGACAGUGUUAACAGAUACGACUUUUGAUUGAAGAUGCACCUAUGUAGAUGAAACCUAUAUUGUGCAACAAGUACAGUAAUGUGGAGAACAUGAUCUAAUCGAUGAUCGACCGAAGGUUUGGAACCAAACGGAUCAAUGGAACAACCUAUAUGAAUUUCGAAUGGUGGCUAAUCUAGAAGCAACAUGCUGUGAAUAGCAAUUUCUAACGAAGAUGCGCUACAGAAUAUGACUGAGACGGGAUAUACAAAGUGAUCUAAUCUAUAGACAUAAACGUGAUAUAACUACAACAGAAAGAAUCGGCCGAAAAUGAUAUACAGAUCAAAAGAUAUGGACUUCUAAACAUGGCUAAUCCAAACUAAUCAUGCCGAAAGUUUUCAAAAGCUCGCCGGAGUGGAAGGAAAACGACGAGAAAGUCGUCAGAGGGGUCGAGGUUGACGUGGACGACGUCGAGGGUGAUGCAGCGAACUCAACAGCGAAGACAGUGGUCCUUGGGUGGCUCCGAACGUCGGGGAUGCGUACGAAGUGGAGGCGGUGGAUCGACGGCGGGGCUUCAUGGCGCAAAUCGAGGGCACCUUCGGCCAUGACGCAGUUGAAACGGUUGAAGACGCAUUUGGACGGCGACGGGCAGUGCUCCGGGUGUGGCGCCGACAUGGGGUCGGGGAAGACGCGGCCAACGAUAGAGAUGGAUCGCAUAACCUUGUCACAGAGGUAGGAGGAGGUCAUGAGAGUGCACCGGUGAAAAGAAUCGAGAAACGGACCUUUGUAGAGAGCUCACUGGGAACAAUGGAGAUGGUGACCGGCAGAGGGAGACAUCGAGGUACGAGCCUAUACAGUGCUUUAGAGGCGAAGCUUUGCAUAUGGUAUCGAUAGACGGGAGGCAAAGGCUCGAUGUGACACGAAUGGGGUCGUCUUUUAUAGGCCGAGGAGGGAGAUCGGGCAUGGAUGCCGACGACCGGCGACGGGCGGUGCUCCGGGUGUGGCGCCGACAUGGGGUCGGGGAAGACGCGGCCAACGAUAGAGAUGGAUCGCAUAACCUUGUCACAGAGGUAGGAGGAGGUCAUGAGAGUGCACCGGUGAAAAGAAUCGAGAAACGGACCUUCGUAGAGAGCUCACUGGGAACAAUGGAGAUGGUGACCGGCAGAGGGAGACAUCGAGGUACGAGCCUAUAUAGUGCUUUAGAGGCAAAGCUUUGCAUAUGGUAUCGAUAGACGGGAGGCAAAGGCUCGAUGUGACAUGAAUGGGGUCGUCUUUUAUAGGCCGAGGAGGGAGAUCGGGCAUGGAUGCCGACACCCGGCAUUAAUGGCGGUGAAUGCGGUUCGGGCACGAUUAGGGGAGAUUGAGGAGGGGGAUUAGGGAGAGGAGGUCCGCGGGAUUCGGUUCAGUGCAUCUGCACAGAGAACGGGAUAGGAAGGAGCGCGGGUGGCGGAAAUCUCGGCGGUGAUGGCGAUGCGUGCUCCUGGAGAUCGAGCAGAGGAGGAAGACGACCUCGUGCGCGUGGCUGGGCUGACGCUCGCGUGGAGUUGGGCCAAGGUAGGGCUGCGGCUGGGAGAUGGGCCAGAAAGAAAGAAAGGCCCAGGGAAAUAAAGAAAAGAAAAAAAAAUGAGAAGGUGGGGUGCAGCUGGGCUAAGGAAGGGAGAGGCGGAGGAGGGAAAAAGGAGAGAAGAGACUGAGGGGAGAUGGGCUUUCGGCCCAGAGGUAGACAUAGGGUUUCUAGUCUUUUCUAAAUAAACAAAAUGCAGAAAUUCAAAUAUAGUUUUAUACAUAUACCAUACAAAUUCCAGCGAUCAAAUAAAGUUCCAGUAAAUUAAAAUAGUCAUUGUGAGAUUAGGAAAUUUAUUUUCCACCCAAUAUAUUAUUUUAUAAAUAUUUUUCUCAUACUAAAAUAAGAUUUGAAUAAAGUCCAAAUAAAAUCUUAUAGCAUUUAUAUGGAAUCACCAAAAAGGUUUAUAACACCAUAUAAAUAUUUUAGACUCCAAUAAAUUCUCAAAAUUGAUUUUAACACCAAAUCACACACUUUGUAAACCAUUGCAAAUGUUUCCAAUUAUAUAUAUUUGGGGAGUCAUGUUAUCCCACUCUCAACGAUGAAAUAAAUGUUAGAAUAACAUUUACACAUAAGGAUGUCACGCCAUCCUCUUCUCGAAUAUUUGAUAACUUGUUCUCGAAAACAAAAUGGACAUGACCAAAUAAAAAUCGAGAAAAACAUAGUUGAACAUUGAAUAUGUUUCUAACCUUAUAAUCAGGAAAGUCAUAUUAUUCCCUCUCUUUAACAUUUAAAUAAAUGUUGGAAAACAUUUCUAAUCGAUUCAAAUAUCCCAACGAUGCUCUCAAAUGGUCAUGGUAUCCAAAUUGGAAAUUUGGGAUGUUAAUAAAUCCUUCCAAAGUGGAAAUAUGAUUUAUUAAGAUGCAAAGAAUGACACGGAGAAAACCAUAAGAUUCAUAUGGGUCCAAAUAGAAUACUUUUGUCGGAGCAUGAGUCUCCGGCAUCGGAGAUGCUGGACACCCCCUUGUUGUUCGCUGGAGGGCGAGGCGAGCACUUCGGCGAUCGCCGGUGUGACGAAAAGGCACGAAGUGUAGACAAUCGGAUUAACCCAGGUUCGGGCCACCUGGAGGCGUAACACCCUACGUCCUGCUCUUGGUUGUAUUCACGAAUUAGUGUGCUUUACAGAUUGCCCGGGGGGUUCUCGGGUAGGCUACCUGUCCUUCUAAGGAACUCUGCUACAGGUGGAUGCAAUACUACUCGUUACUGACUAGGGUUCGAACCCUUUGACAGAUGGCAUUGGUCCUUCUUUUAUAGACAAGGGGAUAUCACAGGUGCUAAUGCAUACAGCGCGACACGUUAGCUAUCCGCGUUUCAUUGUCACAAAACUCACUCUACUGUUGAUCCACGCUGGGCACCAUGCAGCCCCCAGGCCACUGUACACGGUAAAUAAAAUGGACUAUAGGGUAGCCGCUCUAGCCUUGCUGAGCAAGAUUAGCCCUGCUGAUGUGACUCCCGUCGAUGCAUUAAAUGCACUGCGUUCGCUGUCUCGUCCUGUCUUCAUUGUUCUAUGGGUUCCACCUGCAUGCCCGAGCGCGGGUUGCUGGGAGCCUCUUCUCGUCAAGCGCACCCAGCCAGUUGCCGGGGCAGCGUGCCUUCCUCUUCCCGGGACCAGAGUUCCCGGGUACCCACCGGAGCGGGCACUUCUCCUGUUCCAACUCUUGGCUUUGCCUUCGCCAAUAACUGUCUCUUUGGGGCGGGCUUCCUGGGCCUAUCCUUCCCGGGAGGCCAACUUGGUGGGGCUUCGUCACUUGCGACCGACGCGUCCCGUAUCAGUGGGACCCAUUGGGCCACUGGUACGACAAUAGCCCCCGGGCGUUAGUGAUAUCCUUGGUCGGUUGCGGGGCUACACCCUAUGCGAUGCGUGGGUCCUGAGGGACUAUCCCGGUACCCAGCCUUGUGGGCCACAUUUCUAGUUCGACUCUUCCGAGCGAAACGGUCGGGCGCACGAUCUCUUGCCUUAUCCCCCAUAAUCACCAGAGAGUUAAAGCCACGUCGCGCACCCCCAUCUUAAUUCCCGAUUCUUUAGGGCACUUUAUUGCUGAUCGUGGGGGUGUUCGUUGCAGCCCGCCAGCCUCGAUAAAUACCCAAGGCUGGCAGCGGGCACCCCCCACUAUUUCCUACUUCCGCCAUUGCCUCCCAAGCUCUCCUCACCCCAACUCCAGCCAAACCCACUCCCCACUCCCGCCGAUGUCUUCCAAGGGCCAGCGACCCAAGGGGAGCACCGGCAAAGGAGAGAAGCACGAGAAGGCCAGCAAGAUGGAGCUGUCGGAGCGAGCAUGGAAGGAUGAAGAAAUGCGGGCCAAGUUCACCUUCUUCUCCCCCAGGUACAACGGCGAGGGGGUGGAGAAGCUGGUCUUGGCGCUCGCUACCAAGCACAAUGAGUGUGGGCUGACGCGAGUUCUCCCCGUCGGUGCAGAACACAACCCGCAAUACUUUCGGAUUUUCGGGAGGUUCAGACUAGCCGGGUUCGUGCCGCCGCAUUUUUUCUUCUUUUCUGCCAUCAUGGAGUCAUACGGGCUGAUCAUGGCUCAAAUUCACCCCACGUCAUUCUUCACAUUGGCUGUCUUUCAACAUCUCUGUGAAGCAUUCGUGGGGGUGAUGCUGUCGGUGGCUCUGUUUCGCCACUACUACUACUCGAGGGUGGAGGCGAAGGGUCCCCUGUCCUCGGGUGUGGUGUUCCGGUUCCGCGACAGGCUCAAGUCAGAGUUCAUCCAGCUGGGGAAGAAUAAAAUUGACAACGAGUGGCUGCAAUCCCUCGGGUGUGGCGGUCUCAACUCGGCCUCUGAACCUGGGUGGUGGCAGGUCGAGAGACGCACACAGUGCCGCCAAAGAGGCACUGAACAACUGGUCAUCGUCCUUGGAGGGGUAGUAGACUCUGGUGAACGGCGGCACAUUGCCGAACGGUGUUGGGCUUCCCAUCUAUAGAAAUAAGAAGGAAGGUAAGAGAGUAUCAGUGACAUGAUCGAAUGGUCAGAUGUAUGAAGGAAAAAUAAAAUAAGGUAAAGGUAGUAGAGUGGGAAUAAGGUAAUAAACAUUAAUAUCAAGGUGGAAAUGCCAAUAUAAAGUUGGAUGCAAAAUAUUAUGUGAGUAACAUGGCAACAUGAUUAUAGUGGUGUAUGGUGUAAUAAAAAUAAGUAGGCAUUUGUGCUAUAAUAUAAUAAACAUGCAUAUGUGGUAUAAAGCAUAGUAUUUGGUGUAUAUGUGGAAUAAAACAACAAAUAUGUCAUGCAUAUGUAAGAUAUAAAUGCAAAGGUUCAGAUGAUUAGGGAUAAGGAAUAAAAUAUAUGUAUAUAUAUAUAUAAAGAUCAGAUAGGGAUAAGAAGUAGUCCUAAAGGUUUGGUCUUUGGUCUGUCUUAUCCUAAUCCAAGCUAGGGUCACGUUCUUGCAGGCAACACAUUGCUCUGAUACCAUCUGAAGCGACCGCCCCGUUACUAGGGUUCGAUCUCUGUGCUUAUUUGUGCUAGUCCCUGGAUCGACUCACUAGCACACACAGUUCAAGAUGUAAUACCAAGAUACAAUAGUCAAAAUGUACUUUAUUACAUCGUAUCAUCCAGAACUUAAUUGUACUUACAAAUUCGCAUGACCUCUUAGGCCAGCAUAAACAAAUAUUGUUUCAAAACCAUGAUAACAUUGUAUCAUAAAGCUGCAGCGAAAAGGUAGAGCAAAUAGGCCUCAUCUACUCCCAGAGGAGAGAGCAUGUUGGAAUGUAGCACAUGAUCCAAAGAACAUCGACGAACCUCACUCUUCGUCAGAUUCACCUGCAUUAUUUAUUGCAGCCACUACGUGGUCAAUACAUUGAAUGUAUUGGCAAGCUCACCUGGAAGUUAUAAUAGAUCCUACCGCAAUUGGGGUAUAGUGGGGUUCAGGCUUUAUGGCGUGGUAGCAAAACAUAGUUUAUCUUACUACAAAAGAAUGUUACAAUAUUGUUAACUAAUGGACACGGGGUAGAAACAUCAAUGCUCCUAUUAACCUAGAGCACAUUGAGUAGAAACAUCAAGUGCCCCUCCCCUGUUUAAACCAUUCAUUUUAUUUAAGAAGUUGGAAUGAGUGAGACUUUCCUUACAGCCCCAAUAUCUAGUUGCUCAUAAUUGUCCGUAACCGGGGACACGGCUAAGUACUUAGUUUGACACUCGAGAGGUUGUACACAUUCCCCACAAGAAAUCGACGUGUUAAUCCCUUGCUGUCCUCCCGGAGCAGUAGCUACGGCAUCGACUUCAAGAAUUUUCAAAACAUGUUUGCCCAGACCACUUGAGGGACCCGCGCUCCCACCUUCACAACUAUCUCAGUAGAAUCCCUCGGAUCUGGGUUCACAUUUCUUACUCCAUCCAACCAGAGCCCAUUUAGCUUGUGGUUGUACUAGAAGCUACUAAACAGGAAACUAGUCCAGUCUCUGAUACCCCAGGUGGCAUUCCACAUUUGCGACACAAGCGCUCCCUGAAUCCACGGAAGAGACAUCCAUGGACGAUCCAUCUCCAAAUCCACGAAGACUCGACUUAGAGGGACCCAUAGAAAUGGACCUGACGUCGCAUAACAUCUCAAAAUCUCAAAACCGUCCACCCAGGAUGGUUCAUUAGGGUUAUUUUGCCAAGUUUCCAAAAUCACUCCACAUCAUCAUUUCACAGUGAUUGAGAUUCCCUCCCACGUUUACUAACAUAGCAUGGCUAAGCAAUACUAAUCACGAUGGCUAUUGGUGGAGGAUUCAUGGCAAAUGUAACCCUAUAGCUAGUAGGUCAAUCAUAGCUAGCAUAAGUACGAGUAAUAGUCCUAUCAAUGCACUUCUACAAACAACUCUAAUGCAUAUGUAUUUUAAAAACAGACAGUAAUAGGAUAUGAUCAAAGUGAACUUGCCUUGGUAGCAGUUGGAGUUCGCUCUCCGAGAAAACUAUUCAAAUACAAACAAUAUACACACACAUAAACACACAAUUCAAACAUGACAAAAGAAUGUAUGCUAUGAUGCGAUGCAAACAUGUGACAUGAUUGGGUUUAUUUUAUUCGGGUGAUCUACUGGUCCAAAGCAUUGAUAAUUAAGCACAUGUAAUUAGGGUUUUUAACAAUUAGUAAAGGUCGGGGUUUAAAUCCUAAAAGGAGGUUUUAUUGGCAUCAGCCAAACAAAUUAAUUCAAAAUAUUUAUUUCUCUAUCCCAAUGGACAGAGGAUAAUAAAAAAAAAAUUGGGCACUGGUUUCAUUUAAAAAGGACUUUUAAAUAAUUAGUUAUGAUUUAAAUGGUAUUAAACCCUAUUCUGUAACUUGAAUGUGAUUCAAAAAUUCAAAUUUGAAAUUGUACAGUGCCAGAAGAUUCUACAUUUCCUAAGGAUUCCUAAAAGGUGUGGAUCAUCAAAUUUGGCCAAACAGAUUAAAAGAUAUGAUCAUUUGAAGUUACAGGGGUUUUUCUGCAAAAGUGCCAUUUAAUUUAAACCGGGGGAUUAAAAUUAGAUUUUCAUUUUAUAAUUCGGGUGCCACGUGUCGCAAUGCUGUUGGUGCGUACCGGUUCGAUUGAAAAGAAAAAUGGGAUCUAAUCUAGACCGUGGGUCAUAGAUCGGACGGCUCGGUCGGCUAGGAUUUACCUCCGUGGCGGCGGCGGUCACCGGAGACGAGGGAGACGGCGGCGCGGGCACGGGCGCGGCGGCGGGUGGCGUUCGGGUGGCCUUCGGGCGUCGGGGAGGGCAAGGGUGCGCACGGCGCGACGAGGGGAGGUCGGGGACGCGGUCGGUGUGGCUCGGGGCGGUCGGAGGCCUCGCCUAGGACGGCGCGAAGACAACGGCGGGCGGCGGAGGUCCGGCGAGCUUCGGGCUCGGGUCGUUGGGGAGCUGCAGUGCACGAGAGCAAAGACGGCGCGCGUCAAACGAAGCGCAUGGAGGAGUAGAAGAAGAGGGGGCAGAAGAUGGCGGCGCUUACCCUUAGGGUUCACCGGCGACGAAGGAAAACGGCGGCGGGCGGCGCUAAGGUUCCGGCGAGCAAUCGCGGUGGUGUGGGCACGUAAGAGAGAGAGCGAGCAGAGGGGGAAGAGGCGGGGAGCUCGAGGCUUUAUAAGGACGCGCGCGCGGCUGCGAAAUAUGGACGAAGCGCGGAGAUUGCGGCGGUGAGCGUGCAGUGGCGAAGAAGGAAGGCGGCGGCGUUCCCGGGCGCUUUUCAUUGGGGACGAAGACCCUGACUCGUGGGUCCCAUGCGUCAGUGGCAGCGGGCGCUCGCGCGGGGGCUGGUCUGGUUCGGGCGCGGUCGGUUCUGGGCCGGUUCGGCCCAAGCGGUCGGACCGGUCCGGUUCUCUUUUUUUUUCUUUUCUUUUUCCCUUUUCCUCAAAUUUUUGAUAACUUUUGAUUUUGAACUCCAAAUUGGUCCAAAUAAAUUCCAAAAAUUUUGUAAAAUCAUGUUUUAUCAUGUUUCAACUAUUGGGAGUGAUUUCUCCUCAAAAUAAAAUAUAUAAAAAUACAUUGGCCCUAUAAAUGCCUUUAGGGGUAUAUAACUAUUUAAAUAAAAAUAGUUUUUCAACUCCAAAAAUUAUGCGAUAGCUUAUUUAUGCAAUAAACCCCUUUUAUAAAUAAACCCUAUUGGUUUGAAGAUCCAAAGCUCAAAUUGGUGUAAACCCUAGGGUUUAAAUUGAAAUAAAAUCUUUUAAUGCCUUUUGAGAUUCAAAUUUGAAUUCAAAUAUGCAAUUGUGGCAUGAUGCUCAUGGAUGCAAUGCACAUGUAAAAGUUUGAAAUUUUGGGAUGUUACAAAGGGGUGCCGGAGGCGCAGGUCCUGCAGCAGCUGUGGGAUCUCCAGCAAAAGCACCAGCAGGAGCUCGAGCUAGUGAAGGCCACACACGCCAAGAGCGAGGAGGAGCACCAGGCGGCUCGGAACUCAUUCCAAGGGCGCCUCCGGGAUAAGACGGACUUACAGUCCGGCUACUCCCUGGAGAUCCAGCACCUCCACCGCGAGGGCGGAGAGCUGGGGACACCGGCCGCAACAGCAGCCGAAGCCUCAGCGCGCCGAGAGAAGGAGCUGCAGGACCAGGCCUGCUCCCGGGAGCGCGAGCUUGCGGUGGAGCUCAAGGCCGCCCAAGAUGCCAGCUCAUCCCUUCAGGGCGAGCUCGAUGACAACACCAAGAAGGCGUCAGAGACCGGUAGGCUGAAGUCCGAGUGCCGCGAGCACAAGCUGCAGGCCCAGGAGGCACGCGGUGCGUGCAUAGAGCUGCGGGCCCGUAGGACAGGGGAGCUGGCCAGGCUGAAGAAGCUGGCCGACUCAGCGGUGGAGGCGCUGUACAGGUUCGACAUCCCUGUGGUUUCCUUCGAUGGGGCAGACAUGGGGAGGUUCACUUUGUUCUUCGCAGACUUCGUCGGCGGCUGAGCGGCCUACAGAGCUGUGUCACGGCCUUCGGGGACCGGCAAGUCGGCCUUGCAGCCGAGCAGGUCGCUGGGCAGAUUCUCACUCGGGUCCACUCCGCCCACGCCGACUUCCCGUUCGAGUCUGUCUUCGACGCCUGGUCGGACGAGGAAGAGGCCAAGACCCACCGGGAGGCGGUGCAGGGCGUCGUGGAUGAGAUGGUGGCACGAAUGCAGGGCAAGGUCGAUGACGACGAAGCCGCUGCUGAGGAGGUUGCCGGAGAAGCCCCCGAUGCCGAGGAUACCCCUGACACCGAAGCAGCCGCCCCGGGAGCACCUCCCGCGUAGUUUCCUUCCUUCCCUUCUCUUUUUUUUAUUUCCCUGCAAGUGGCGCGUGCGCCUUAGAACUUCUUAUGUUAGCUUUCCCUCGUCAUUAUCAGUGUUACUCGCCAACUUGUUUUGCCCAAGGUUUAAUAUAUAUCCGAUGCUAUUUUUACUUGCUCCUUUGCUUAAGACUAUCUUGUCGAGGAGGGGCUCUGUCCUUCCUGCAUUUUAGCGUUUCGUACCCGGGGACUCACCAACCACAUGCUUGGCCAGACUAGGGACCCGGGACGGACCCACGGUGCCGACCUAGGACUAAACAGCAGCGGCUAGUCACUCCGCCUGCGGGUUAACUACCCCAGCGCGCACGCCUCCGAGACGGACCCGUGAGCCACGUGUGGGGGGCGUCCUCACCCCGCAAUCGUCCUUCCUACGCUCCGGCUACACGGGGACCGAGCUUACCCCAGCAAACUAGUGUUACUAAAGUGGAAAAACCAAGGACCCGAAAUGAGAUACUUAGCUUCCCGUUCUUUUUGGACUCAUUGCGCCUUGUUGAGAGCCGUGGCAAGGACGCGGUGGCAGUGCACCCUCCAGCAGCACCCUCAGAGCCGCGGAGGCAUGCACCCCCACCGCGUCUUUACAAUGCCUCUCGCUUGUCUCAUCGCUACUUCUGGUGUCCCUCCAUAAGAGAUGUGGCAGGGCCGCGAUGGUGGGAACACCCUCAGCGAGAAGCGCAGAGGGAUGCACCACCAUCGCCUCUCUGCGACAUCUCUUGUUUUCUUGCCCGUUGUUGGUGUUGCACUUACCCUGAUCUCCUUAAAUAGCCAAAGCGCUGCUCUUGCCUCCACAUGCCCAGGACCAGCAGUCGCCGCGCGGAGGCACUGGCCCUGUCUCAGUCUCCUGCAUCAAGCCUCGAAGUAAUUGCCAUAUAUGUACAACUUACUCGCAAGACGACGACACCUGUGACCACCCCAUGAGCGUCACAGUGUGCCUUCGCCUCAUCUAUAUCCUGCAUGUCAGAUUCCUGCAGUGCCCAAGGUACAUAGCAAAAAAUUUCGAAAUGUACGAAAAAUUGUAUCAACUGGAUAACCUCCUGCCUCCCCCAGCCCCCGGGCACAGAAGAGUCGACCUCAAGCCUGGUUGUGAGCAUCGUUACAUUUCCACGGUGCAUCGCUAGCACGUAGCACGUUGCGGAUGGGUCCGGCAAUUGCUAGGCCUCGUUCAGAGGCAUCCGGGCAACGAGCUUGGUUUUCGGGGUUCCGGCAGCCCCCUGCUCACAGCCAAGGAUGAGGAGACAAUUCUGUGCACCUAGAGUAGGAGACAGAAGCAUUUACGAACAGCAAAGCACAAUAUUUACCAAUGCCAUACUUAUCUUUAUUCAACUUUGUGCUAGCGGAUUAUAAUCGGGCCUUGCCCGGCUACACUAGCUUAAAGAGGCACGCUGCCGCAGCGUCACACGUGGGUAAGGUGCCACCGUUUCAUGGGUAGAACUUGCGUAGGUACUCAAUGUUCUAACUAUUGGGCACCGGCAAGCCUUCUUCGGUUUCCAGCCAGACAGCCCCCGGUCUGGUCACCUACACUACCCGGAAAGGGCAUUCCCAGAUUGGAGUCAACUUGUUCCCGGCCUUCAUUCCUUGUAUCCGGCGCAGGACAUGGUCUCCAACCUCGAGCCCUCGGGGACGGACUCCUCUGUCGUGAUAACGACGGAGUCCCUGCUGGUAGCUUGCAGCUCGUACAGUAGCCCGGCAUCGAAUCUCCUCGAUGAAGGUAAGGUCAUCAAUCAUUUGCGUGUGUUGGCUCUUGUCAUCGUACGCGCAUACCCGAGGUGACCCAUACUUGAGCUUGAGGGGCAGCGUAGCUUCUGCCCCGUAGACGAGGGUAAACGGAGUUUGACCCGUCGCCCGUCUCGGUGUGGUCCGUAGUGACCACAACACGGGCUGAAGUUCUUCAACCCAAUGUUUCCCGUGGCCUUUGAGCUUGUCAAAGGUUCUCGUCUUGAGCCCCCGCAACACUUCUGCGUUGGCUCGCUCAACUUGCCGGUGGGAUUGGUCCUCCUUUUAUAGACAAGGGGAUACCACAGGUGUCUAUGCAUGCAGGGUGACACGUCCCCUAGACGCGUGUCACGGCCGCGUGGAAUACAAUUUUACUCAUCCGUGCUGGACGCCGGUACACGGUAGAAAAAUGGUUCGUAGGAUAGUCUCCCUAGCCUUGCUCAGCAAGACUAGGCCUGCCGAUAAGACUCCUGUCAGUGCCUUAAAUGCACUGCGCCCGCCGUCUUGUCCUGUCUUCACUGUUCUGAGGGUCCCGCCUUCAUGCCCGAGCGCGGGUUGCUGGGUGCACCCUCCCGGCUAGCGCACCUGCUAGUUGCCGGGAGGCGUUCCUUCGGCUUCUCGGGGCCGAGGCUCCCAGGAGCAUCUUGUACUCGGCCCUUAGCUUUAGCUUCACUAGGGGUCGUCUCCUUGAGGCAGGCUUCCCGGGCUCGUCGCUUCCCGGGAAUCCUUCCUGAUUGGGCUUCGUCAUUGGCGACCCACGCGUCUCGUAUCAGUGGGACCAUGUGGGCCACUUGUACGACAACCAGUGGGAGCUCGAGCUGGUGAAGGCCACGCACGCCAAGAGCAAAGAGGAGCACCAGGCGCCUCUGGACUCGUUCCAAGGGCGUCUCCAGGAGAAGACAGACUUGUUGUCCAACUACUCCCUGGAGAUCCAGCGCCUCCGGCGCGAGGUCGGAGAGCAAGAGACGGCGGCUACAACGGCGGCCGAAGCCUCGGUGCGCCGGGAGAAAGAGCUGCCAGACCUGGCUCGCUCCCGGGAGCGCGAGCUUGCGGGGCAGCUCAAGGCUGCCUGGGAUGCCGGCUCGUCCCUUCAGGGCGAGCUUGACAUGACGCGGCAGGAGCUCCGGCUCAUCGAUGAGGACAAUACCAAGAAGGCGUCCGAGAUCGGCAAGCUGAAGGCCUAGGAAGCUCGCGGUGCAUGCACUGAGCUGCGGGCCCACAGGUCGGGGGAAGUAGCCAGGCUAUAGAAGCUGGCGGACUCAGCGGUGGAGGCGCUGCAAGGGUGCGACAUCCCGGUGACUUCCUUCGACGGGGCGAACAUUGGCAGCUUCACCCCCUUCUUCGCGGAUUUCGUUGGCCGGUCACAUGGCCUGCAGAACUGCGUCACGGCCUUCGGGGAUCGGCAGGUCAGCCUCGCUGCCGAGCAAGUCGCCAGGCAAAUUCUUACCCGGGUCCACUUCGCCCAUCCCGACUUCCCGUUCGAGUCUGUCUUCGACGCUUGGUAAGAUGAAGAAGAGGCCAAUACCCACCGAGAAGCGGUGCAAGGCGUGGUGGACGAGAUGGUGGCGCGGAUGCAGUGCAAGGUUGAUGAUGCUGAAGCUGCUGACGAAAAAGCCACUGGAGGAGGCCCCGGUGCCGAGGAGGCACAUGACGCCGACGCUGCUGCCCCGGGAGCACCUCCCGCAUAGUUAUCUGCGUGUUCUUCUUUUGUAUUUACUUUCCUGCAAGCGGCGCAAGGCGCCUUACUUUGUGUUAGCCUUUGUUACUUUGGAUGUUUGUCGAAAACUCAUUUGUUUGAAUUCCAUUUCAUCCAAUGUCAAUUUACUUGUUCUUUGCCUAUAACUAGCUUGCCGGGGAGGGGCUCUGUCCUUCUCGUGUUUUAACCUUGUAUACCCGAGGACUUGCCAACUGCGUGCUUAGCCAGACCAGGAACCCGGGAUGGACCCGCAGUGCCAACCUAGGGCUAGACAGUAGCGGCCCGCCACUUCACCAGCGGAUUAAUUACCCCAGCGCACACGCCUCCGGGGCGGAUCCGCGAGCCACGUGUGGGGGGCUUCCUCCCCCCGCAAGCGUCCUUCCUACACUCCGGCUACACGGGGACUGAGCUUACGUCAACAAACCAGCGCGAUUAAAAGAAGAACUAAGGACUCGAAACGAAGUACUUCGCUUUCGGUUCUCUCAGCAUUUUGAGCACCCUGUUGAGAGCCGUGGCAAGGACGCGGUGGCGGUGAACUCUCCAGCGGCAUGCGCGGAGGCAUGCACCCCCACCCCGUCUUCGCUACGCCUCUUGCCUUUUGUGUUACCAUCUCUGGUAUCCUCUUUUAAGUGAUGUGGCAGGGCCGCGAUGGUGGGAACACCCUCAGCGACAAGCGCAGAGGGAUGCACCACCAUCGCCCCUCUGCGACAUCACUUGCCUUCUUGCCCCUUGCUGGUAUUGCGCUUGCUCCGGUCUUUAAAUAGCCGGAGUGCUGCCCUUGCCGCCACACACGCGGAACCACUGGUUGGCGUGUGGAGGCACUGGCCCUGUCUCAUAGUCCUGCAUCAAGCCUCGAAGUAAUUUCAAUACAUGUACAACUUACCCGCAAGACGACGACACCCGUGACUGCUCCACGAGCAUCACAUUGUGCCUUCGUCCCCAUCUUUACCCUGCAUGUCAGAUUCUUGCAGUGCCCAUGGUGCAUAGAAAAGUUUUCGAAAUGCACGAAAAAACAACACUAACUAGAUAACCUCCUGCCUCCCAAACCCCGGGCAUAGAAGAGUCGACCUCAGACUUGGGUGUGAGCAUCUUUACUAUUCCAUGGUGCCCUGCAGGCACGUAGCACAUUGUGAACGGAAUUGGUUUUCAGGGUUCCGGCAGCCCCCUGUUCGCAGCCAAGGAUGAAGAGACAAUUCUGGACACCUAGAGCAGGAGACAGAAGCAAACAUUAAGGACACCUAGAGCAGGAGACAGAAGCAAACAUUAACAGCAAAACACAAUAUUCAUUGAAACAACACUUAUCUUUAUUCAUCCUUGUGCUACCAGAUUACAAUCGGGCCUUGCCCGGUGUCGUGGUGGUGUCAGGGCAGAUGCCAUAGGAUGGCUUAUGUUGGGGCCGAUGGACGAAGAAGGAACCGGAGGAGGGAGGACGUGAAGAGAAACACGCACAAGUACACGAACACACGCAGAUUACCCAGGUUCAGAGCCCUCUUGUCGAGGUAACACUCCUACUCCUGCUUCGCUGUAUAAGCCGAGAUACCGAGAUCUACAAUGGCGCUCCUUGAGCUGUAUUCUUGAGGAAGAAGAAGAAGAAGUGGAAAACCCUAGAUGUCUAAGUGAUCACCCCCUCUCCUGGAGGGGUAGUGCUCUAUUUAUAGACCGCCCAUGUCACACUGACAUGUGGGUCAAGGACUUACGUUAUCUUCUAUGGGCCCUGCCGGGCAUGCACCUUGGUUCCCUCCGGGUGGCACCACAGGGGACAAGACAACUUUACUUUCCUAGCGUCCUGCAACAAGUGCAGUCGCCUGACACCGCAAAAUAAGCAACGACUGCUUUCCCGUGAUAAAGAUAGCGCUGCUUUACUUUGUGCCACGCAAUGAGGAUAAGACCGUUGAGACAUCUCGGUGCUGGCCGAGAUCAGAGUACUCGUCCUUAUCCUGUAAUUACAUAAGACAAGACAUACAUGCCGGCAUACACCUGGUAUGCCGGCUUAGUAUUGGUUUGGCUUAGGGAUGCCGGCGUACAUGCCUAUGCUGGCUUUGCCUUCAUCAUCUCGGCUAAGGUGUGUCGUCAUGACCCUACCCGGGGUCAUCCCCCCGAAACUUUUGCGGUCCGGCACGGAAGAAUGUCGGGCCACGACAGCUUCCCACACACAAACCACUGAAGCUCACCUGGGCUUAGCCGAAAAGGGUGCCGAGACAACCCCGAGUUCUUCUUUGCCGAGAUCAAGUCAUUCCGACAUACCGAGUCGGCAUACUUAUUCAGCCUUGAGCCGAGACAUUUUUCUCCUUCAUGGCCGAUAGUAGAAAACUCGUUUAUGCCGACAUUAGUGCCACCUAUCGUUUAUACUCCACGUUCUGCUUAAAUAACGGGAAGAUAAGACUCGAAGUACUGCCAGCGCGUCCUUUAAGGCGGCGCUUCAUCCGUCCAGACAGUAAGACCAACAAGCCAUUAAGAGGGAAAUAUCGGUUCCCCACACAGAUCCUUAUCCUCCCAGAUUCGACAGGAUUCACUACGCCACGCAGCGCAGUAAACGAGCGCGUGUGCGUUAAUGGGGCUGAUUGCCCCCAUGAUCAUGCACGACUCUUCCGUUGGCCACAAGGAUCGUGGGUGUGGAAGAUCCGCGCCCCAUUAGUGUGCUGCGGGUAUAAAUAGACGGAGCAGGCGAGGGUGAAAACCCUUCGCCAUCUCCCGUCCUUCUUGCUCUCCUCUGCUCCUCUGCUCCUUGCGCACUCCGCCUUUACCGGUAGCUUCGAAUUUUUCCCCCGCUGCGCUUCCUAGCUCUCUGCAACCGAACCCGUCGUCGUAUCCUUACGCGCGCUCGCCUGGCUCUCCGCCGCCGCUCUCUUGCUCGCUCGAGCGUUGCGCCACUGUUCUUUCACCAGAAAUCCUAACCCUAGAUCUACUUUCCAAGCAAUGGCCUCUUCGUCGCGCGACGCCGCCGCUGUCGACCCCACUACCCAGCAUCUUGAGGAGGAGAUGGGCUCGGAGCGAGCUGGCGGGGAGGGCUCCGACGUCUCCCCGGCGGACAUUGAGUGGCUACGCCGCUCCCGGCGGGUUCCAGAAGAUGUGGAGUGCCAGAUCCUCGGCGAUGAGAUAGUGCCGGCACCCGAAUCUGGUGAGCACGUUGUUUUCCUCGCUCACAUUGAACGCGGUUUUGCUCUCCCGGCCAGCGAUUUCACUAGGAAAUUUCUAGACUUCUUUGGCCUCCAGCCGCACCACCUUCCGGCAAAUGCCAUCCUCACUCUCUCGGCGUUUGUUACUUGCUGUGAGGCCUAUCUCGGCCUCUGGCCUUCCACCGACUUGUGGGCCAAAUACUUCAUGUUUCGGCCCCAAGUUCUUCCUGACAAGGACAAUCCCGGCACCGCCAAGCCUAUGACCCAGUGCGGCGCCACACCGUCAUACCCCGCUGGGGUUGGGCCUUCCCUACGAUCCACGGUCUUGAGUCGUGUAAAAAGUGGCUCAAGACCUUUUUCUAUGUCAAGAACUCCUCCGACACCGACAAGAUCAACUUGCCGGGAUUCGUAGUCGGCCCUCCGGAGGAGGAGAAGAAUUGGAAGUAUGAUCCGAAGGACACGCUUCCCGAGAUCACGAGAUUCACACCGGCCUCCUCGAGCUCAAGGCAGAAGGGAUGACGGCCAAUGAUGAUGAGGACAUCCCACAUGUUGAUACAACUGCAGCACCUACAGUCACAUUACAAGGACCUAUCACAAGAGCUCGCGCACGCCAACUUAAUUAUCAGGUACUUUCGUUUCUUGGAACGAUUCUUCACAUACAUGAGAAUAUGAUGCUACCUAAAUCAGAUGUGUUUGUCACACUUAGGAAUGAUGGACCUAGCAUGGAUGAGAGGGACAAGCAUUGGAGCAUGAUCAUGCAUGGAGAUGAAGGCAGCAAGCGUGUGAGGAUUGAAGAUGGCGCCGCAAUAGGAGAUUUCAUAACGUUGAAGCCACCAUAAUGAGAGAUGAACACGUGGGCGAAAUAUAGAGCUUUUCCCUUCAUAUUUUCGUCCACACAAUUAUAUGGUGCUGCGUCACCUUUUAAGUUUGGGCUAGGCCCAUGUAAUUUUCGUCCACAUACAUGGGCUGGACUUUUAGAGUCCGUAUAGGUGAAGGAAACCAACCUAGAUGGGUUUCGGCCUUCUUUCCCAAGGCUGGCCGCAUACCCCUCUAGUCCUCCAUAUAUACCCCCGUUAGGUCUACGUUUAGACUCGGAUUUUGUUUAGUUUAAGACUUAGCUAUUUGCUACUCUACGCCAUAGGCACAAGUGUCAAAUCGACCUUCUGUACUACGGGCUUUCAGGACCUAGCUUGCACCUCAAGGAUCAGCGUUGGACAGCAAACCAUGGAGGUGGCAGCAAGGUGGCGGGAGCUAGCUCAAGUGAUGAUUUCAGAACAUUGAAACUGCCAUAACGAGAGAUGAGAAGAAGGCCGCAUCCUCUUCAUCCAUGGGAUUUCGGCCAAGUGGAGGAUUCUCCCUCCAAUGGGUAUCUAUGGGCCAAAGAUGAGGGUUAUAACCUUGCUUUAUUGGGCCUAAGGCCAUAUAAUAGGGUCCAGCCAAUUUUUAGAUGUUUUCGUUGUGUUUUAGGAGGAUUCCUAGGCCGUUUCGGAGUCCCUCAAGGGCCUGUCCGAAAACCACCUAGUUCCCCUCCUAUUUAUACCCCAUGAGCCCCCCCAUGGAGCCUUGGGUUUUGAUUAGAUAAAGUUUAGCCUUUGCUACUUUCGUGUAAUCGCGUGUGUCGGUUAGACCACCUGUUUUACCGUCAUCAAGACUCCAACUAUAUUGAGUAUUCAGAUUUGUGAACCUUCAUAUCUCCUAUUCGCAAUUUCAGAUUGCUUUUCAUCUUGUUCUUGCUUGUUCUUCGAUUGCUUGCAGGAACAAAGACCUUUGUGGUCAGGUUGAUCGUGCCCCCGCGGGAUAAAUAACCUUCUGAAGUUGGUGUAUCGAUCGCUAAGGCGCUGCCUCCUAGGUUGUAGUCCGAUCGUCAACGUCACCUCCUACCAAAUCGAUAAUUAGGUAUCUCAUCGAAAGAUCGAGACACCCUCGAGGCUAUCAGAUUGAUCCUUUGUGAUCAGGUUGAUCUAGCUCCGGCGUGGUCAAUAACCUCGGAAGUUCGUGUAGCGAUCGCUAAGGCGCAACGUCUGGGACGUUUGUAGCCGGUUCGUCAACAUCGACAUCCACCCAAAAAUUGAUAGUUAUCUUCUCAUCGAAAGAUCGGUGUCGCACCAAUGGCACCCGGGGUACCACCGCUGCGCAACGCGUGGGCCCCUCCCCAGGGUUCUCGGGAAGGUCUCAUCCCGGGGAGCGCCGACGUGCUUCCCGCCAAGCUACCAGCCCGAAAGGGCUAGCGGGGCUUCGGGGAAUAUUCCCGCUUGGGCACCUCCCGGGACUGCUUCCCGGGAGGGGGUUCCCGGGUGCGCUGGGCCCGGGGGCUUCCCGAGUCGACUUGCGGGGACUGGGGGCUCCCGGACGCGUGCCCCCGCCUCAGGUCGUGGGGCCCAGUGGACAGCACCGCGCGGGCGCGUGGCGGGCGCGGAACGCGCGGUCCCACCAAGGCAAGGGGUAAGGCGCGCGGCCCAGUAAACAAGCCGACCGACGGGUAGUUACCCGUCCGAUCCAAGGAACAGUGAUUGUCCAAUCCUACCCUGGGGUCUUAGGCCCCUAGCAGCGGAGGUGGCACCCAUGCAUGCCACCAGCUCACCGGGGAGAGUUGCGUGCCUCCUCGUUGGACACUUGUAGCCCAUGCACCAUGGCACAUGUGGCAUCCCCUUGUGUAUAAAACGAGGACCCAUGCCAACGGUCAAGGGGGUUAGACGGUUCGCGGGACAGACAGUUGGUAGGUUGGCGAGUUGGUCAAUUAGUUCCAGUAGACAGCCAGCAGAGAGUAGUGAGGGGUACUUAGACAUUGAGAGGAAACCUGGGAACUGGCCCGGGCAAAAAACUUGCAAACGUUUGAUCCGCAAUCAAUAUCAGUUCAGACAGGCAGGACGUAGGGUUUUACACCUCCGGGUGGCCCGAACCUGGGUAAAAAACGGGUGUGCAUUUGUUCUUACACUAGUGCGCACUCUUAGCACUUUGUCUCACCAGCCCCGUAGGGCCUCAUCGGCCGUGCCGGCGAUAACCGGGUCUCCGCCCCAGACUCCCCCACCGAACCUAAAAGGGGGACGUGGCUGCACGCCCCCGGUGUCGGAGCACCGAGCGAUGACAAUCGGGCACCUUUACCCUAUCAGAUGACUUGCUGGCCACCUUCGUGUACCGGAGGCUGUGCCCGCUCCAACACCGGACGCACAAGAUGUGCUUCUAUGGCGGUCAGUUCGACCCGAACCGGGUGUCAACCGUCCGGCUUGACUAGGUUGAAGUCCGGCGCCGGGUUAAGGCAAUUGCGAAGACCAGUAUGCCGGAGCGCUGGGAAUGGGGUAUGCCGGCAUACAGCCGGAAGCACCGUCCGCCCCCUGUAAGUUUUUGUUUAUAUGUAUUUUCUGUUCUCAUCUGACAUAUGGUUAUGCCGGCUAUCCUUUGACAAAGACUCGUCUCGGUGCAACUUAACUCUUUUGUGUAGAGGUUCACCCUUCAGCGCAAGGAGGACGGGAAUUCCCCUGACAAGCGCUUCGGGAGCCAACGCCGGACGAUCGAUCAUGAAGAUCCAGACUCAGAGGAUCACAUGCCGAUCGCUCAUGCCGGCCCUCGUCGCGCCGAAGGUAACAUCUCCUGACAUCUCCUCAUAGUUAUUAUGACACUUAUCAUCAGAUUGCUCACACUUGCAUUAAUCCGGGGACAGCCGACUUGGCCGAUCCCGCAGCUGCUGGACACAACCCUCUAUGACUUCGCUGUUGUCCACAACCCGGCUUCAUGGCAAGCUAGAGAUUGGGUACGAGAUUGCUGGACACAUGAAAAGCGAUUGCGGAAACAAACAAAGAAGCGAGCCGAGAUGCGCGUUGUUUUACUUAACCCGGCAUUUCAUUCCGGUCUCGGGUAUUUCCAAGCGAAUUUGUCGAGUUUAAUUUUUUGAAAGGGUUGUUCUAUGACUUCGCGAUUCAUACGUCGAACGCCGACAUGGCAGACAAAAGAACCGGAGUCAUAAAAUUUCACCAACAGAAAAAAUAGACUCGGGGACUCGGUUUGGAACUCGGUAAUUAAAAGACCUGAAUAAAUUAAAAGUAUGAUGCUUCACAAACAAAAGUGUUAUAAUUCGGUUACAUCUGCACCCGGCAUCUCGGGGAUCUGAUAAUCUUAAAGUAUUUUUUCUAAACAUGCCUAAGAAGAAACGAAAGGAUUGUUGGCGCCGGAACUCGGCGCAUCCGUUGUAGUGGAAGCCGACUCGACGACUAUCUCUUCGUCGGCUGCCUCCUCAUCUUCUUCUUCAGCCAUCUUGACUUCGGCCUCUGAAACCGGGCCCUCCACAAACUUAUGCACGUCGGCAUAUUGGAUGAAGGAGUAAGCCCGCUCCUUCCGCUUCGCGAUGAGUUCCGGAUCUGAGAGGAAGGGGGAGCCGACUCACAUCGAGCAGCACGUCGAGGUUGAUGCCGUCGUACCAAGAGAGUACGAACGACAACGCCUCGUUGGCGCCUACACGAGCGGCUGACUCCCGCCAUUCGUUCAGCCGGUCCUCUACCUCCAGAAGGCGCUUGGCCAGCUCCGGGAUGCUGGUUGGGGCUUCUUCUCCCGGCCACAACGCUCGGAAGGCCUAGAUCCUAGCAUUGAGCAUAUUCACCUCGAAGGACUUCAGAGGCUUUACCCAGCUCGCAAUGCUGACCAAGUAAUCCUCCAAGUCAUAUUCGAAGGGUGCUGCCUCGGCUGGAUCCCUCCUUUUGCAGGCCUUGAUCACGGCAGCUUGGGCAGUUUCAACAGAUUGUGGGAAGAAUUCUGACAAAGGCAACCAGAUAGUAAUGAGUCUCGGCACCCUAUUGCUACUUUCGGACAUGUGAUCAUGAAGCGAUCCUCCCCGUUACUAGGGUUCGAUCUCUGUGCUUACUAUGCUAGUCCCUGGAUCGACUCACUAGCACACACAGUCUCAUGAUGAAAUAUACAGAAACAAAGGUCAAAAGUACUUUAUUACAUCGCAUCAUCCAGGAUUUAAAUGGUACAUACAACCUCGCAUGAACUCUUGGGCCAGCAUAAACAAAUACUGUUUCAACAUCAUAAAACAUUGUUUCAAAAUACUGCAGCGGAAAAAGGUAGAACAUAAGGGCCACAACUACUCCAAGGUGAGAGCAUGUUGGAAUGUAAGGACAUGACCCACAACAUAAUGACGAACCUCACUCAUCGUCGGAUCCACCUGCAUUGUUAAUUGCAGCCACUACGUGGUCAAUACAUUUGAAUGUAUUGGCAAGUUCACCAGAGUUAUAAUGGACCUACCAAGUACAUGCAUAAUUUGGCUAUGUAGAGUUUGGCUGUUUGCAUAAAAGCAUCAUAGUCCAAUCCUAUCAUUUUUAAUCAAAUAUUUUUUGAAUUCUAUUGGACACGGGGUAGAAACACCCAUGCUCCUAUUAACAUAGGCACAUUGAGUAGAAACAUCAAUGCUCCUACCCAGUUCAAUCCAUUCGUUUUAUUAUGAAAUUGGAAUGAGUGAGACAUUCCUUACAGCCCCGAUAUUUAGUUGCUCAUAAUUGUCCGUAACUGGGGACGCGGCUAAGUACUUAGUUUGACACUUUCGAGAGGUGGUACACUUUACCCACAAGAAAUCGACGUGUUAAUCCCUUGCUGUCCUUAAGGUAGAGUAGCAACGGCAUCGACUACAGGAAUUUUCAGAACAUAAUCCCCCAGACCACCUGAGGGACGUGCCCCCACCUACACUGUUACAUACCGAUGUCACCUUGGAUCCGGGUUCAUAUUUCUUACAUCCAUCCUGGCACAGCCCAUAAUACCAUGUGGUUGUACUGGAAGCUACUAAACAGAAAACUAGUCCAGUCUCUGGUUACCCCAGGUGGCAUUCCUCGGUUGCAACGCAUGCGCUCCCAUAGAAAUGGCGAGACGACUCAUAGAAAUGGACCUGACGCCGCAUACAUCUCCACUUCCUCAAAGCAGCCCACCCAGGACGGUUCAUUGAAUUACUUGUUUUGCCAUACACUAGGAAAACCAUAUUGUAAUUCAAUAAUAUCACAUUGUAAUAAUACCACCCUCGUAUAUUAUCAUAGCAUAGCAUUUUACUACUACGAUGGCAAUUGGUGGUGAGGUCAUGGCAAAGGUAUCCUAUACUACUAGGAGAAUCAUAGCAUAGCAUAGAUACAAUAAUAAUCCUAACAAUGCAACUAAUAAAAUCUAGUGCAUAAUAAGAUAAUAGGUGAAUGAUCAAAGUGAACUUGCCUUGAUAGUAGUUGGUAAUCAAACACUCUUCUCAAUCACACAGUUCGCUCUCCGAGAAAACUAAACAAUACAAACAAUACACAUAUAAACAUACAAUACAAUCAAAUGGAAAAGAGUAUGCCAUGAUGCAAUGCAAAACAUGUGACAUGAUUGGGUUUAUUUUAUUCGAGUGAUCUACUGGUCCAAAACAUUCAUAAUUAAGCAUAUGUACUUAGGGUUUUAAACAAAUAGCAAAGGCUAGGAUUUAAACCCUAAAAUAAGGUUUUAUUGGCAUCAGCCAAAUAAACUAAUUCAAAAUAUUUAUUUCUCUGUCCCAUUGGAUAGAGGACAAUAAAAAAAAAUUUGGGCACUGGUUUCAUUUGAAAAGGACUUCUAAAUAAUUAGUUAUGAAUUAAAUGGCAUAAAACCCUAUUUUGUAAUUUGAGUGUGAUUCAAAUAUUCGAAUUCAAAUUUCAACAGUGCCAAAAGAUUGUAUAGGUUGAGAGCUUUCCAAAAAGGCCAAGUUUGUCAAAUUUGGCCAAAGGGUUUAAAAGUUAUGAUCAUUUCAAGUUACAGGGGCUUUAUUGCAAAAGUGUCAUUUAAUUAAACCGGGGGAUUAAAAUUACAUUUUUAUUUUUAUUAUGCAGUGCCACGUGGCGCAAUCCUAAUUGUGCGUACCCGUUCGACUAAAAUGGAAAACGGGAUCUAAUCUUGACCUCCUUCAACUCCGGCGGGCUCUAGGGUUCCGGCGGCGGCGCAGGCUCAGGCGGCGGCGGCGCGGGCGGUUCCGACGACGCGGGUGGCUCGGGGAAGACACGGGGGCGCGCGGCUCGUCGAGGCGGAGGCGUUGGUGGUGGCGGCGCUCCUCGGGGACGUCGGACGCCACGCCUAGGACGGCGUGAAGGAGGCGGCGAGCGGCGGAGCUCGGGGCGGGUCGUCAGGGGCGCUGCCAUGGACCAAAAACAACGGAAUUUGCAUCAGAAGAUGCGCGAGAGAGAGAGGGGAAGAGAGGGGUAUGUGGCCUCGAGGUUUACUCACGGAGCUCGGCGGCGGCGACCAAAUCAAGCGGCGGUGCGGGUGAACUUCGGCGAAGAAUUGGGUGGUGUGGGCACAACGAUUUGGGGCGGCAAGAGGGGGGGGGGCAGAAGCGGGGAGCUCGGGCUUUAAACGGAUGCAAGCGGCGAAUUUAGGGAAGGCCGGAAUCACCGGAGACGGCAAUGGCGCCGACAAGUCCGGUGCGAACUCGGCGGAGCUUUCCUUCGGGACGAAGCCUGACAGGUGGGCCCCACCUGUCAGCGUCUCAGCGUGCGCGCGGGCGGCUGGGCGGGCUGGGCCAGUUCGGGCGCGGUCGGUUCGGGGCCGGUUCAGCCCAAGCGGUCGGGCCGGUCCGGUUUCCUUUUUUUUUCUUUUCUUUUUCCCUUUUUUCUCAUUUCUUUGAUAACUUUUGAUUUAGAACUCCAAAUUGGUCCAAAUAAAUUCCAGAAAAUUUGUAAAAUCAUGUUCUAUCAUGAUUCAACUUUUGGGAGCAAUUUCCCUCAAAAUAAAUAUAUAAAAAUACAUUUGCCCUAUAAAUGCCUUUAGGGCUAUAUAACUAUUUAAAUAAAAUACUUUUUCAACUCCAAAUAAUUAUCCAAAAAUUAUGGGAUAGCUUAUUUAUGCAAUAAACCCCUUUAUAAAUAAACCUUAUUGGUUUGAAGAUUCAAAACACAAAUGGGUGUAAACCCUAGGGUUUAAAUUGAAAUAAAAUCUUUUCAAAGCUUUUUGAGAUUCAAAAUUGAAUUCAAAUAUGCAUUUGUGGCAUGAUGCUCAUGGAUGCAAUGCAUAUGAAAGAAUUUGAAAUUUUGGGAUGUUACAGAUCAGGGGAAGAAAUUUGUAUAAGGGCAACUUACUCGUCAGCAUUGCGUCAAUUUUGAUGAGGUCAUGCCGGCACACGCGGAGCAGGCGGGCGUUCUCGGCCUUCUCCUUCUCGACAGUACUGGCGCGGGUCUCGACCUCAGCGAUGAGAUCCUUGAAUUUCUGCACCUCGGCUUCUAGGUGGAUCUUCUCGUCAGUUUGGGCAGAGAGGGCUGAGGUCAGUUGACCUACCUCGGUCAUGUGCGCCUCCGCCUGAGCUUCGAGCUGCGCCUUCAGCCGGGCUACUUCAUCCCGGGGCUGCUCUUCCAGCCGAGUUUUCUCAUCUGGUUAGCAGACAUAUGUUACAGAAGCUUGAGUUUAAAAUAGAUCAAACCCAGGAUAAGGACAAGCUUAUACCUUGUACUUCAGCAACACGCUUCAGGAGCUCAGAUACUUGAGCAUUGUCCCCGGCUGUAAACAAGAGCAGGUCUCAGUUCUUGCGGUGCAUUAAUACUUGGACAAAGUCUUUAUGUCGGUGAAAAGGUCGGUAAAAAUGUACUUACUCUGGCUCUGGCGAUCGGCUACCAAGGCCUUGUGCUCUGCCUCCAGCUUCUUAUGCUUUGCCAGCAGCAUCUUAAAGGUGGUGGUGCGCUUGUUCAUGCAGGUCUACAAGAUAAUAAUCAACAGUUAAUUCUAUUGCAGUGGGAAGUCAACAGUUUUUAAGCUUCAGGCUGACUAUUCUAAACCCGACCUGAACCUCAGGAAAUAAGUGUUUGAAGUUUUUAAGCUUCAGGCCGACUAUUCUAAACCCGGCUUGAACCUCGGGGAUUAAGUGUUUGAAGUUUUUAAGCUUCUGGCCGACUAUUCUAAACCCGGCCUGAAUCUCGAGGAAUAAGUGUUUGAAGUUUUUAAGCUUCAGGCCGACUAUUCUAAACUCGGCCUGAACCUCGGCGAAUAAGUGUUUGAAGUUUUUAAAUUUCAGGCCGACUAUUCUAAACCCGGCCUGAAUCUCAGGGAAUGGUGUUUGAAGUUAUUAAGUGUUGCAGAGUGUUUGAAGUUUUCUAAGAUAAGCUUCAGACCGACUAAUUCUUACUCGCCCUAAACCUCGGGGACUAGGAGUAUGGAUACUAGAAGUAGAGUAAAAAACUUCAAGAGAAUUUUUUCGUGCUUCUGCAGCUCGGCUGGACUCAAACAAGGCCACCCUUGCCUGGAACAUCCGGGCCGACACAGACUCCGAGGUUGCCACAGGUGCGGGCCCCACUAGAGGGCUUUGCCGCACCGUCUGGAGGGUGCUAGAGGUCACCUCAUAACUGUCAGCGUUGUUCCAGUCCAUUACGAACUGGCCCAGCGACCCCCAGCUAUGCCUGCUGGUCGUCCUGAGAGGAAUUCCCCGGUGCCCCCGGGUAAACUGCGAGCUGGAAGAACUCGGAGGCGCUUGUCCCGCUGGGAUAGUGGAGCUCCUAACUUUCUUAGCUUGUGCAGCCGCAAGUUGACUAGCUUGCAGCUGCGGCGGUGAUGACGGCAGUGUCAGAGUCGUCUGCGGUCCUUGAGUUUCUUGGGGCCCCGUUGCCAGCUGCUGCGAAGUCUCCAUGACCAGCGGCUCCGUCUAUGUCUCAGUUGCCGCCGAGGAAGGAGCAGCCCCGACUGCCGAGGUCCCGGCUGCGGACGUCCCGGCUUGGGUGACGCUCGAAGCGUCGAUGCUCGGAUCCGCAGCAGUCUCGGCCUCUCCCGUGGCCUGAGUGGUGGGUUCAGCACGAGGAGAGGGAGCCGCCGGGAUCUCAGACGCGAUACACGUUUAAGAUUGCGUGGCCGUCAGAGCCUCCCUGCAGGAAUGAAAGUUAGUUAUUUUCAUGAGAAUUAAGAAGAAAACCGACAUCAAGGGUUGGGAUGUUGUAAGCCUUACGCAACGACCAUGGGUUUCGGCCUUGGUCCACGAGAGGCAACCUUCUUCUGCUUCAUGGUUUGCGGAAGAUCCCUCUCGGCUCCGCGUUUUUCAAGGGUCGGUGCAACAGCCGCGGUUGGAUCCGAUGCCUAAGAGAUUGGCAAGAUGAGGUACCACAUUCUGAUAGUGUUGCUCCCAAACAAGAGAGACCCAAGGAACAGAAGCCCUAUUAUAGAACUUGUAAAGUUGUUUCAUCAGAAGAGAUUCAUUCUGCAGCCGAAGAUUCAAGAUUCCCAAACCACCUUUAUCCUUUGGCCUGCACACCAUCUCCCAAGAAGCCUGUUUCUGGAAGAACGACUCCAAAGACAGUGCCUUCUAGCACGAUCAAUAGUUGGAAUAACCCCUUGGUGGCAAUUGUAGGAAGCACAUAAAAUAGGUUGGCAAGGAGGAAAACACAGAGUUCACCAACUGAAGCUUACCACCCUGGGAAAGGAAGCAAGCACUUGCCGUAAGCCUUCGCUCCACCUGAUCAAUGAGAGGUGAAAAAUCCUGAAUGCGAGGCUUAGUAACCCCCAAACGUAAGCCCAAAUAGGUGAAGGGCAAUGUACCCACCACACAACCAAAAUUGGAUGCAAGCUGACCCACCAGAUCAUCACCAACAUUAAUGGGAAUUAGAGAUGACUUAUGAUAAUUGACCUUUAGGCUAGUGGAAGCAGCAAAAUCUUCCAACAGAGACUUCAAGUGAUCAAGUUGAUCAGGACACGCCUUCAUGAUCAAUAAAGUGUCAUCAGCGUAUUGAACAAUUGGAAAAUCAUCAAGCAUAAGCCCAGGUAUUGGCAAAGACAAGUGACCAUCUCUAAAAGACUUGUUAACAAUACUCUGAAGCAAGUCAGCACCCAACACAAAGAGCAAAGGUGAAAGUGGGUCACCCUGUCUGACCCCUCGUUUGCAAAUAAAUUGCUUCCCUGGUGUACCAUUCAGCAAAACUGAAGAAGACCCAGAGGAUAAAAUUUCCUUAACCCAGGUAAGCCAUUUUGAAGGAAAACCCUUCCUCUUCAUCACUUCCAGAAUAGCAGAGUGUUCAAUGGUAUCAAAAGUCUUCUCAAAAUCCAUCUUCAUAAUAAUGAUUUGGCACUUUGACUUGUGGCAGUGAAACAGAUAUUCAAAAGUCCAAGUGAUAUGGACAUGCUAACCAUGGAUACAACCUUUGGUGCCCUCAAUUCUAUAAUAUUUGACAAAAUUUAUAAUCAGGUGAAUUCAAGUAGUAAUUGUUUUCAUUGUCAUAUUUAUGAAGAGGCGGAGCUACUACUAUCUUGUCUCGUUUUAUUACGUAGGCAUGUUGUCGAGCUUUUCAAGUCCAAGGUGAAGAUGAGAUACGAUGGAGGCGAACGGGAGGGCCAACAAGAAUCAAGCAUUCAUACAGCUGAGAGGGAAGGAUUUCAAGUGUACUUUGCAACAAAUCAAACGGCACAUGAUUCGGAGCUUGCUAGAGAAAGAUAUCACGAAUUAAAGUUGAAUCCGAUUCGGGUUCGAGCUGCCAGGAGACCCGAAUUUGUUUUAAUCACCCAGGACGUAUCCGGAGUCCAAAUCAAGCAAACAAGUACUUGUUGGAAAGGUAAUUACAAGACCUUUCCAACGGAUCUGGCCCCACUAAGAGAUUCGACUCGUGCUGACCGUGGCGGACAAAACAAGCUGACGGAUCUGUUUUUUUGUUUCCUAAAGAAUUGUAGUUUGUUAGGAAAGCUAGAGAUAGAGUUGGAUUUCGGACUCCUUAUUCAAGGUGGACGAAAAUAUCUCUCCCUCCUCCUUUAUAUACCCCAUGACCCCCCUAAGGAGCCUUGGGUUUUGAUUAGAUAAAGUUUAGCCUUUGCUACUUUCGUGUAAUCGCGUGUGUCGGUUAGACCACCUGUUUUACCGUCAUCAAGACUCCAACUAUAUUGAGUAUUCAGAUUCGUGAACCUUCAUAUCUCCUAUUCGCAAUUUCAGAUUGCUUUUCAUCUUGUUCUUGCUUGUUCUUCGAUUGCUUGCAGGAACAAAGACCUUCGUGGUCAGGUUGAUCGUGCCCCCGCGGGAUCAAUAACCUUCUGGAGUUGGUGUAUCGAUCGCUAAGGCGCUGCCUCUUAGGUUGUAGUCGGAUCGUCAACGUCACCUCCUACCAAAUCGAUAAUUAGUAUCUCAUCGAAAGAUCGGGACACCCUCGAGGCUAUCACGUGGUAUCAGAGCUUAAGGUUGCUCGGUGAGAUUUUUCCAGUUUAUCCGUAGUUUAGAUCUGUUUUUACCUAUCGUCCAGAAAAAGCCAAACAAAAAUUAGAAUUAGUAACCUUGUCCUAAAACCAAUCUGAGCCUUGCAAUUUUCACAUUAGUAUUUGCAUUGUUGAAUCUUUGCUGCAUUAAUCGUGUCGAGUUGCUGGAUUAGAUUGGAUCGUUUUUCAGAUUUUUUCUACUAGAUCAAACUUGCUUUUGGUUUUCUUGUUCUUCGUGUGACGCAAGUUUCCUUCAUCAAUCUUCCGCCGCCAAACUUCCUGCCACACCACCGCCAUAAUCUUCCGCCGCCACCAUAUCUUCCCCCGAGUCCCUCUUCGAGUCCUACACCGAGUCCCUCUUUAAGUCCUACACCGAGUCCUUCUUCCAGUCCUACACCAAGUCCCUCUUCGAGUCCUACAUCGAGUCGGGAAGUUAUAGUUUUCAGGCGCGAGUUCGACUCCGAGUCCAAUCAAGAGUGCUUUUGGAAAGUGUUUCAUAAUAGAUCGAAUUUUGUUUAGAGAUCAAGUUGUUCGGAAAGUUGUGAAAAAAAAAGAAGGGAAAAAAAAAGGAAGAAAGAAAGAAAAAAAAACGAAAAAAAAAAGAGAAAGAGUUCGAGUCAGUUUCGGACCCGAGUCCGGGUAGAAUUUUAGUUUCGGGUGGGUUUGACCCGUGUUCAGUAAAACGGACGUGUCUUUUGCAUAAGAACUCGGAUUUGAACGUUCUUUGACUUUUUAGAAAUCUCACGACGAAGCGCAUCAGGAAAUAUCCAGGGCGUUGCCCUGCACUUUGACCCUAAAAUUCGGCCUCUAAGGGGGACUUUUCGAGCUCCAAAGUUUCUGCACCCGUUUUACGGCACCGGGGCAGCGCAGUAUAUCUCAGUUUUCUCCACCGUCCGACCUCCGUUUCGAGUGAUCUUGCACUUGUUGGAAAGCUUGUUUUGAUACGCUUCUAACCCAUAUUUUCUCAUAUUUUUCUGAAUUUUUCUUACUGCAGCCUUUGCUGUUCUUCGACAGACCGACGUACAGUUUUCCGGUUCUUCUUGUGUGUGAGUUUCUGGGGUUAAAAAAAAGAAAAAAAAGAAGAAGAAAAGAAUAAGAAGCCAAACAGAAGGCCACAAAAAGAAAAAAGAAGAAAAAAAUCUCAGGGAUUUACUUGUUGUGCCAUCUUUUGAUCUUUCUAUUCUAUCUUCUUCAGUAUCUAGGCUUAGAUUAUUUCUGUAAUUCGUUCUUAUCGUCUCCAGCAGCUAGGACUAGCAUUAUUGAGCAUAUUUUCAACUUUGCAUUGCUGAUUUGAUUAUUUGCUAUUCCUUGCUACUCACAAAAGCCUUCAAGCUCCACAGAUUCUACACCUAGGUUGGUUUGUUACCGAGGCAUCGAUACAUUUAAUCUCCGGAGGUGUUGGUUACGCCGCUGGCCAUCACCUUUCUGUUUUGCAUGGUAAGAACUUGUAAGAACUUGAUUUUUAGCUUGAGAGUUGAGCGACUUGUAGCCACAUCCUAGUAGUUGAUAGGAACAUAUUACUGUGAUUUGUUUCUUGUUUUCUACUAACCAUGACAGGACUUACACGAAGCAUGGCAACUAGACCGAUGCUAUCCCGUGACCGCGAUGAGUGUUUUUCACCACGGCCAUCCUCCACGUCUCUUGUUGAUAAUGCCACGGCAACGGUACAAAACAAUCCUUCUAAUACAAUUAAAUUGUGUGUACGUUUCUUUGAGGGGGAAAAUGAUGCUGAAACGUAUAUAGAUUGGGAGCUAGCUUUAACUGAACAAUUCACAUGCUUCCAUGCACUAGAUAGUCGUAAGGUCCAAAUUGCUAGUAGUAAAUUUCGUUUUGAUGCAUUAUCAUGGUGGUGUGAGAUAGUUAGAGAAAACAAAAUACCUCACACUUGGAUUGAUAUGAAAAAAAAUCAUGAGAGAAAAAUAUGUUCCUCCAAGUUAUGCUUAUGAGUUGCGUUCCAAAUUACGACGUUUGACACAAGAUGAUAAAACUGUUGAUGAUUACUACCAUGAGUUCAAAUUUUAACCUUGCGAUCUGGUUUAGAUGAAACUGAACAAAGAAAAAUGGAUAGGUUUUAUUGUGGGCUUAACUUUGAUAUUUCUUACAUAAUUGAAUACGGAAAAUACGACUCUCUAUUGUGUUUGCUUAAUCUUGCUCGUGAAGCGGAGAGGAAAUUGGAGAGAAGGUGUACAAGAAACGUGUUGAGCCUACAAGGUAAUGAUAAAGAUGAUUGUGUUGCUGAACAAAAUAUGACAUGUGAUGAAAUAAAUGAGAUACCCGUUGAAUUUUCUGCACCAUGUGAAAUUGUUGAUUUACAUGCUGAUUUGAGUGCACCUACUGCUGAAAUUAAUUCUUCUAAUGAUUUGAGUGCACAUAUUAAUUUUGAUAUUGAUGAGAAUGAAUCAUGUGAGGAAAUAACUAAUGUUUUGGGAGAAACAUGUGAUGUAUAUAAAUUUGGUUUAGGUUGUGUCAACUUAAUUACAGAUGGAGUGAUUGAGAACGAUCCACCUAUUAAUUCUUUGUGUUAUAUUGCACUUUAUAGUCCCAUGUAUUUGUCGCAUGCAAUGGAUAAACUGUGUGAGUUAACCAUUUCGAAAUCUUUUGCUGUUCACGGAUACACAAUUCAUUUAAUUGGACAACAUGAUGUGAACAAUAACAUUUUGGUGCAUGAGAUUUGCAUUACUUGUGAUAAUUUUCCUCUCUUGGGAGAAAAGAAAUUUUUGCACAUGCUUAAUCGUUUUGAUAGGACCUCCAAUAUAGGUGUUGAUUAUUUGCCAAAUAGUUAUUUACAUGCUUGUUUGAAUAUUAGUGCUUUGACUUGCUCUAAAUUUCAGCAUAUUGUAGUAACUAAUUUGGAUACUAUUCAUUAUUAUUCUCCAAUGUUGGGAUGGUGUAAUGGUGAGCGGUGCAAACCAAAUACAAGAAAACGUUUCGCUUAUAAAUGCAAACAAUAUUGUCAAUCUUCUUGCUGGAAUGUUAUUCAUCAUGAUUGUUUUACUAAUUAUCUCAUGAGACUUUGUUAUAAAAGAUUAAUUGUGCAAGAAAGGAGAUGUAUAAAGAUGGAUGACAUAUACAUAUACCAUGCACACACUUUGUCUAUUUUGUCAGUCUCUUUACAGCACAAACGACGCCGAGGACGGCUUUCCUUUCAAGAAAGGGAGGAUGAUAUGGACAUGCUAACCAUGGAUACGACCUUUGGUGCCCUUAAUUCUAUAAUAUUUGACAAAAUUUAUAAUCAGGUGAAUUCAAGUAGUAAUUGUUUUCAUUGUCAUAUUUAUGAAGAGGCGGAGCUACUACUAUCUUGUCUCGUUUUAUUACGUAGGCAUGUUGUCGAGCUUUUCAAGUCCAAGGUGAAGAUGAGAUACGAUGGAGGCGAACGGGAGGGCCAACAAGAAUCAAGCAUUCAUACAGCUGAGAGGGAAGGAUUUCAAGUGUACUUUGCAACAAAUCAAACGGCACAUAAUUCGGAGCUUGCUAGAGAAAGAUAUCACGAAUUAAAAUUGAAUCCGAUUCGGGUACGAGCUGCCAGGAGACCCGAAUUUGUUUUAAUCACCCAGGCCGCAUCCAGAGUCCAAAUCAAGCAAACAAGUACUUGUUGGAAAGGUAAUUACAAGACCUUUCCAACGGAUCUGGCCCCACCAAGAGAUUCGACUCAUGCUGACCGUGGCGGACAAAACAAGCUGACGGAUC
rnacentral:lncRNA from 1 species